rnacentral:lncRNA from 1 species
CACCAUCACUCUUCAAGUAAGGUAACACCUUAAGGUACUUGACUAUCACUUUUAUAAGCUUCUCCUUGGUUCUCGCGUUCAUAUAAAUAAAAGAGACAAACAUGUAUGAUUUACAACUCUAGAUUAACCAACCCAACUGAUUCAACAUGUUUAGUCCUUUAAUCCUUGUUCUUAGUACUACCUCCAUGAUUCCACACUCCUAAUCAUAUGAGCUAAAAUGUUACACAUUCAAUCAUUGAGAAAUAUAAAGAAAAAGACAUAUACAUAGAUAGAUUAUCUUUCCAUAAGGUUGAGCGAUCUGAUCUGACAAAUGUUAUAAGUGCUACACUCAUGAACUUUUCAUCCAUCAACUUUGUCUUGCUCACUAUGCUUAGGGUUAGAGAAGAACAAAUACACUUUAGGUUCUAUUGGUGUUUUCCACCAACAGGACCCAUGCACUUGAUCUCUGCCUUGUCUCUAUGAGCAGGUACACUUCGAGCAAAACACGGAGGAGUUUUAUAACUCUCAGACUCUACCAAGUAAAGGACCUGGAUCUACGAGCACAAACACACUGAGCAGGAUAUUGCCAACGCCGCACUUCGAACUGCUGGGCAAACGAAGAGGUGCAGACGUCAAGGUCCGCACCUGAAUCAAAUGACGCACCUGAAGAAUGAACACGGUGAGAAGUCUUGUUAAGAAGACUUAAAACAUUGAACCAUCGCCGAAAGGUAAGAUCGGUAGUUAUCCAUAUUUAUCCUUUCUGCAUUCCCUUUUCCCUUUAAUUAUUUACUUUCCUUAAAUAGAUUAUUAGUUAAUCAUGCUAUCUUGAAAAGAAAAUAAAAAUAUUAAAAAAUACUAAGCCCCAUGUGAGUAUACGAGUGGCAUAAAACCCAUAAGUACCUUUACUGUGGUGGCAUAAAAAUAAAAUAAAUAUUUCUUUUCUGCUUUAUAAAAUAAAAAUAUAAAAACAGGGAGUAAUAUUUAUUGAGGAAGCUCAACAUGAUGAAGGCUAGAUAUUUAUGCUAACACUUAAUUAGUUCCACAAGCUUUGUUGUCUAUUUGAGCUCCACAGAAUUUAAGAAUCAAGAAGACUAGCAGACGGAGGACAUUCUAAUCGCUGUGAGAAUGCUGCUGACUUUCAAAUACACCUCUGCCACCUGCUAGCUACAUCAACAGAAAUUACGUCAAAAUUCAGCUUGGGGGAGAGCACCCCCAUUUAUCUCGCUAAGUAUUUCUACAUAUCUUUAUACUUAUAUUAUAUUAGAAUAUUAAAAUACAUAAACUAUGAAAAACCAAAUAAAGAUUUUGUGCUUGUAUAUAUAUCUUUUGCUUAGUGUGUUUAAUAAAUAAAUAAAGUGGCUAUGCUAAUCUGAAUCUUAAUAAUAAAACUCUAGCAUGGAUAUGAUGAAUAGUUGCUCUGCCUAAUUUGCAAAUUUGAAGUUCUCUCUCAAGUUUAGACAUAACUGUUAUAAUUUAAAGCUUGCUCUAGAUCUAAAUUUGUAGGAUAAAAACUUGAUCUGAAAUCUAAGUUGUUAACGGACAUGAUAUGGGAAGGUUGAGCUGCUGUUUAUCUAUUCCUAGAGAUGCUAGAAUUCUAGAGAAUUUUAUCUUUGAAAAAUCUUUAAAAUAUUGCAUGAUGAGUUCCUGUAUGAUGAGAGUUUAAAUUCCUACCACAGCCAUAUAUACAUGCUUGCUAGACUUUGAGCCACACAUUUACUAUUUACUGCUUAUCAGCAUUGAGUGUGGUCAAGCUGUGUAGACCCUUAGGAGAUUGUCAUGUGGUUAAAUCAAGAUUUCACUUGCACAUUCACUCAUAUAUGCUACUUCUACUCCGGAAGUACCAUCCACGUAUAUCCACUCAUUUCCAUCUCCAGAACCACCCAAAAAUAUUCUACUCCAAAUCCGGGAGAGAAUAACCAAAAAAUAUUUCUGUUUUCCCUUGUGAAAUAAAUGCUCAAGUUAUCUUGUUACUACCACUUGCUAUAUUAUCUCAAGAGAUGAGUGCUCUGAAAAAAAAAGAAAAGAGAGAAAAGAAAAAUAAAUAAAUAAAUAAAUAAACGAGGAAAUAAAAAGGGGCAAGUGCCCGGAACCUCGAAAGAAAGAAAAAGUGAGACGAGAGGUAAAAAUGGACAAGUGUCCGACAGUAGAAUUAGGGGUACAAGAUACCCACCUGAGAGGAAAGAAAAAAAUGAAAGAUAGAGCAUCUCAUUCUCCUCAUAAAGUUUCAAAAAUCAAGGAAGGUAUGUAUCCCCUCAAAAGAGCAAAAGUAGAAUUAGAAUUUCACCAUUGUUGUCACCAUCAUCACCAUACACCAUUCAUUCGCCACACAUGCACAUCUAGAUUUGGCUUAUUGAUUUGUUUCUUUGGAUCCAUGGUUUGACUAUACAAUAAAUGUCUUGAAAGUAUGUAUACUUUAUCUCCCACCUAUGAGCUCUAGAUAUUAAAGCCUUAUUAGGGUAGGGUGAGAGAGAAGGCAAUGUCAUUAUGCCUUAUACCACAAAUACCACAUAUCUUGAGAGAAGGCAUAUACCAUCACUGCCUUGGUAAGGAUCCAGAAAUACCACAAAAGAGAGAUUUUGAGAGUCAUACAAGGAAUCUCUGAGUUUUAUUGGAAAAUCUGCAAAAACUCCAGAGCUAUAGCUGAUCAAGAAUAAGAGACAUGGCACUUGGCUAGACUGUUCUAUCUUUUAACUACUCAAGACAGAAGUGACGGUUACAAGUCCCAUGGUGAAAGGUAAAGUAAGUAAGUUUUAGUUCUUGACAGUUUACUCUAACUCAGAGAUGAGAUCUUAUUUAAAAGCAUGUGUACCGUCAAAUUUUUAAGAUAUUGUAACAACUUCUGAUCCAUUGCUGAGUCUAUCCUUGCUCAGGGACGAGCAAGAGGUAAUCUUGGGGGAGUUUGUUGACGGUCCUUAAGUAUCAAAUUUAAUUAUCAAAUAAACAAAGAAAAGGAUCCAAAUGAAAUCAACAUCUAGACUUAGGGUUUUAUCUGACAGAAUUCCACGAGUUUUGGUGUUUGUCUAUUUCUGCAGGGGGUUAUCAGGAAAUACGGAAGAAAGGCCCACACGUCGGGAUUACAUAGAGAUAUUAACGUGCCGCGCAAUUAUCUUACAUCUAGAAGACUCUAGAAGCCACGGGAAGGAAGCGGAGGCCGAACGGGGCCAGAGGCAGGGCGCCCGCCCUCCUGCCCUGGGCGCCCGCCCUGACUUGGAGCCCAAUCAGGACUCUUUCUCUCGGGAGAUCUCCACCGACCUAAAGGAUCAAGAAUAACCGUUCAAUCAAUGUCGGUUUGAUCCGACGGCCCAGGUUCACUUGAGGGGACUAUAUAACCAGACCCCCUGGCCCCUGGAGGAGGCACCCCUUGAUCAUUAUUCAUUAUUCUUAGACAGAGCAAAAGCUAGGGUUUAGAGAUGAGAGCUCUCCUCUCUUCUCUAAACUAGAGUAGAUCUAGAUAGUAGGAAGAUGGAGAGCGAAGGAGGAUUAGAGGAGAGGUCGGCCUGUCGGUUCAUCCUCCGGUUGUACUUCGUCAUGAUCAAGCUCUAAUUAAGCUUGCUCAUGGGAUGACUCUGGUAAUCUACUUCUAAUUCAUUAUGCAAUUACUAAUUAUGUAUGUUCUGGUUCACAACUCUUUUGAGUAUUCUAAUCUAUAGGACGCUAUAGGUGAGAGUUGUAGUAUAGGUGUAAGCGAGGUGCUUAGAUCUAGAUUACUUGUGGAUAUCCCCUGUCCAGUUGGAUCGUGUGGUAGGCCGCGUAGGUGACAGUUACGUUGGUCCUCUGUAGUCCACCUCUCGUUAGCAGGACGGGUACGGUUUAUCGGCCUAAGGAUAAGCAUCCUUUGUGGUGUACUCUUAUCACGUGGUUCGUCCCAGACAUAGACAUACCCCUUUGAAGUAGAGAAACCAUAGUUAUCCUCUCUAUUUUGCUAACAUCGCCCAUAUACUAGAAUUGCUCUAUUCUCUAUUCCCAUAUUAUCACUCACUGUUAUCUUACCUUUAAUAUUAUUCUUAUUCGAUCCUACCAUCUUUCCUAUUUACACUUAUCUAUCUAUCCUAGUUAAGUUAGAGUGUAGAUCUGUUCUCCCGUUUCCCUGUGGACACGAUAAAACCUUUGACCGGGUAAAAGCUUCAACGGUAUCCAUGCGCUUGUGGAUUAUCUGUGUGCGUAUAAAUACCAUAGUACACUCUAGUGCCAUGAUGGGGAUGACAACCUAGUAUUCAAGUAGUGUUAGCAAGUGUCAACAACAGGUUGACCACACUCAAUGUUCAUAAGCAGUAAAAAGUAAAUGUAUGGUUCAUAGUCUAAUAAGCAUGUAUAUGUGGCUUUGGUAGGAUUUUAAACUCUCAUCAUACAGGAACUCAUCAUGCAACAUUUUAAUGAUUUUUAAAGAUAAAAUUCUCCAGAGUUUUAGCAUCUCUAGGAAUAGAUAAACAGCAGCUCAACCUUCCCAUAUCGUAUCCAUUAACGACUUAGACUUUAGAUCAAGUACUCUUCCCACAAGUUCAGGUUUAGAGCAAAUCUUAAUUCAUAACAGUCAUGCCUAAACUUGAGAGAGAAUUCAAUUUUGAGAACUAGUCAGGGCAGAGCAACUAUUCAUCAUUUCCAUGUGAGAGCUUAUCAUGAGGGUUCAUAGCAAACUUUAUUUAUUUAUUUAUUUAGCAAACUAAUCAAAGAUAUAUAUAUAUAUAAGCUCAAAAUUUUUAUUUGGGUUUUUAUGAUUAUGCAUCUUUUUAUUAUUUGAGUAAAGUAUAAACGUGAGUAGAAACACUUAGCUGGAUAAAUGGGGGUGCUCUCCCCCCAAGCUGGAUUUUGAUGUAAUUUUUCUAAUGUAGCUAGCAGGUGGCGGAGGUGUAUUUGAAUGUCGGAAGCAUCCUGACAGUGAUUAGGACGUCCUCCGUCUGCUAGUCUUCUUUGAUCCUUGAAUUCUGUGGAGCUCAAAUAGACAACAAAGCUUUAUGGAACUGGUUAAGUGUUAGCAUAAAAAUCUCUUUGCCUUUGUCAUGUUGAGCUUCCUCUAAUAAAUAUUACUCUCUUUAGUAGGAUCAUAAGUUUAUUUUUUUAUAUUUUCAUUUCUAUAGGGCAGGGAUAUAUUUAUUUUAUUGUUACGCCACCACAGUGAAUGUACUUAUGGGUUUUAUGCCACAAGCAUACUCACAUAGGGCUUACUGUUUUUAACAUUUUUAUUUUUUUUUCAAGAUAGCAUGAUUAACUAACAAGCUAUUUAAGGAAAGUAAAUAAUUUGAGGGAAAAGGGAAUGCAGAAAGGAUUAAUAUGGAUAACUACCGAUUUUACCUUUCGGCGAGGGUUCAAUGUUUUAAGUCUUCUGAACAAGACUUCUCACCGUGUUCAUUCUUUAGGUGCGUCAUUUGAUUCAGGUGUGGACCUUGACGUCUGCACCUCUUGAUACGGUGUCACCCAUGUUCUUCGUUUGCCCAGCAGUUCGAAGUGCGGCGUUGGCAGCAUCCUGCUUAGUGUGUUUGUGCUCGUAGAUCCAAGUCCUUCACUUGGUAGAGUCUGGGAGUUGAAAAAUCCUCCAUGUUUCUCAAAAUGUGUCCUGCUCAUAGAGACAAGGCAGAGAUCAAGUGCAUGGGUCCUGCUGGUGGAAAACACCAACAGAACCAAAAGUAUAUUUAUCCUUCUCUAUCCUUAAGCAUAGGGAGCAAGACAAAGUUGAUGGGUGAUAAGUUCAUGAGUGUAGCAUUUAAAACAAUUGUCAGAUCAGAUCACUCAACCUAAUGGAAAGAUAAUCUAUCUAUAUUUAUGUUUUUUAUAUAUCUUCCAAAGAUUGAGUGUGCAACAUUUUAGCUCAUAUGAUUAGGAGUGUGGGAUCACAAAGGUAGAAGGACUAAACAUGUUGAAUCGAUUGGGUUGGUUAACCUAGAGCUGUAAAUCAUACAUGUUUGUCUCUUUUAUUCAUAUGAACACCAGAACCAAGGAGAAGCUUAUAAAAGUGAUAGUCAAGUACCUUAAGGUGUUACCUUACUUGAAGAGUGAUGGUACAGUAUCACCUUGUAGAAGCUUUCCUUUCUUAGCGGUUGUGCAUCGUGUUUGUGGCACCCUCCAUGGAUUAUCUCUUAUGAGCUACGUCUUCCUUGUGUAAAUUGUUAAACUUGAUGUGUCUCUCUCUUUGUCUCCAAUGUGAGUUUAUCUCAGGACUUCCCAGGUUGAUAUUAAAAGUUUUCCUGCAGGGGUUAGUCCAACAAAAUAUCCAAUAACUACUAUAGCAUACUAUCGGCUCAAAAAUCAACCUAGACAACAUGUCUAAUUUGAUUUAGGAGGGCAUUUUAACCAAAGCACCAUGCUUAAUUUAAAAUCCCUUGGAAGUAAGAUCAUCAUUCCUAAACUAAGCACCAUGCUUAUAAAUGAAACUACUCCAAACCUAGACAUAUACUAAAGCAAAUAAAGGUAGCAUGAGAGCAUUUAUAGAGAUCUACUCAAGUGGAGAUGAAGUAGUGUGAUUAGUAUUUAACAAAUUGAGCAUGUCUCAAUGGUAGGGACAACCAACAUAGCAACAUGGCAAAGGAUGUUUUUAUGUAAAGUACUCCCCCAAGCUUGAAUUUUGCAAAAUUCAAGUUUGGAUGAAUUUAAUUCAAUGUUGUAUGAUGAUUGGUUGGACAUACCUUGUGCUUGUCAUUCAUAUGAUCUUCUUGAUCCAAUCCUGGAAAGGUUAGUGAUAAGAAUACCCGAAGGAAUAUUUUUACAAUUAUCCUUAUAUGCUCAAUACACAAGGUAAUGUUGCAAAUAAUUAAAUGCUCAUGUUACGAUCUGAUCAGUGCUUAUUUUAGGACACUAAGCUUGUCCUUGGGAAACAAUCAAUUUAUGUCGGCGAAGUGGUUUCCCUUCCAACGCUGACCUAUAUCAAGAUCAACUCAACGAGAUCUGCAAUAUUUAUUAUAGACAUAUGCAUCUACAACCGCCCUUUUAAAGUUUUUAUAAAUAGAAAGGAAGAGGGGGUUGGAGAUCUCAAAUGUGGUGAUGUUGGAGAGACCAAUAGAUUGGGAAGAUGUUGCAUAUGAGCAUGGAGUAAACGAAGUGGCUAUGAAAUAAAUUCCAUGCUCAUUAAUGUUAUCUUCGUCUCCAAUCUGAAUGUUCAGAGUUUCUCUUGGAUUGGUCUCACCUAUGUCCUCUUCUGUAGUUGGAUGAAUCUCAUCUUCAAAGGGAGUCAAGAACUCACCAUUUGAAAUUGAGCCAAAGUCAGAAUCCAUUAAGGCUUUUUUCUUAUCCAUCCAUUCUACACAUUCUAGCCAUUUAGAACUUUGAUCAGGAAAGGGGAGGUGUUAGAAUUUUCUAUAUGGCUUAGCUCUCCUUCUAUGACAUUACUUGACAUGUCAUCCUCAUGGUCUUUAUGACUCCUAUGGUUUGAUCGUCUUGAUGGAUUGCUAGGAUCAUCAUGAGACUGAAAAGGUGAGGGAUAAGAGGGGUCUCCAAGGUCAAUAAUAGAUUUAGAAUUUGUGAACAUGGAAGGGGAGUAGAUAGAAUCUUCUAUAUGACUUAGCUCUCCUUCACUUCAUAUGUCAUCCUUGACUUCUUCAUAACAGGAACCGGGACAUUCUCUAAGAGAACCAUUAUUGCAAGGAUGUGAAUUAUCUCUGCUUGAAGGUCUCUUAUGGAACCAGAAGUCUAAACCAUCAGCAUCUGAAAGAUUUAAGGUCGGAAUUCGUUCCUCCCUUAGAGAAUUUUGGGGUAUUGAUGGUUUAGGAUCGAUAGCUAAAGUUUGGGAUUGAAGUGGUUGUGAUCUGGCUAUCGAAACUUCUUCUUCUUGUCUAGGAACUAGUUCUUCCUCUUUCUCAGGGAUAUAAAUGCUAGUAAACUUUCCACUCAAUGAAUCAAUUAAAUCCAUAGCUUCACUAGCAGGUAGGUGAUAGAAGGAUCCUCUAGAGGCUGUAUUCAAGGUUUGCUUAUUUUCCCUACUAAGGCCCUCAAAAAAGUGAAUUAGAAGAACUUCUUCUAGAAUAGAAAGCUUUGGGCCAGUGAGAGUAAGGUUAAUAAAGCGGUCCCAUGAUUUGCCAAGAGAUUCUUCUUCCAGUUGUCUAAAAGAAAUAAUCUCACGCCGAAGUUCUGCCACUUUAGAGAUUGGAAAAUAUUUAAAAAGAAAACUAUUAUAUAACUCCUUCCAAUCUCCAUGAACACUCCCUACUUUGAGUUUGUACCAAUGUCUAGCUUUUCCUGUUAAAGAGAAUGGAAAGAGCUUCCAUUUAAGGGUCUCAUCGGACAUGCCUUCAAUGCGAAGGAGGUCACAGACUCGAUAAAACUCUCUUAGGUGUGUGUAUGGGUUUUCCUCACCUUCUCCUGAGAAAGUUGUUUUUGAACAAAUUCUAUAUAUUCGGGGUCUAUCUCAAAACUAGAUGUCAUGAUUGGCUUUGAAGAUUUUGGUGGUUCGAGAUGUGUGCCCGUAGGUCUAUGAAACUGAUAGAUAGACAUGUUUGCAUUCAUGAUAGACCAGAAAUCAAGGAUUAGAUAAGAAGAAAGAAUAGCAGAGAUGAGUCAAAGGAUAAAAGGAAAUAUAUAUUUUAUUUUUUUUCUUAUUUUUUUAGAAAAUGAUUAAGCUAGUUCGUAGUCAACUCAGCAACCGUCUCCCCGGCAACGGCGCCAAAAAGCUUGUUGACACUUGCUAACACCACUUGAAUACUAGGUUGUCAUCCCCAGCAUGGCACUAGAGUGUACUAUGGUAUUUAUACGCACACAGACAAACCCGCAAGCGCACGGAUACCGUUGUAGCUUUUACCCGGUUAAAGGUUUUUAUCGUAUCCAUAGGGAAACGGGAGAACUGAUCUACGCUCUAACUUAACCUAGAUAGAUAGGUAGGUGUAAAUAGGAAAGAUGGUAGAAUUGAAUAAGAACAAUAUUAAAGGUAAGAUAACAAUGGGUCAUAAUAUGGGAAUAGAGAGUAGAGCAAUCUAGUAUAUGGGCGAUGGUAGGAGAAUAGAGAGGAUAACUAUGGUUUCUCUACUUCAAAGGGGUAUGUCUAUGUCUGGGACGAACCACGUGAUAAGAAUACACCACAAAGGAUGCUUAUCCAUAGGCCGAUAAACCCUACCAGUCGUGCUAACAGGAGGUGGACUACAGGGGACCAACGUAACUGUCACCUACGUGGCCUACCACACGAUCCGGCUAGACACGGUAUAUCCACAAGUAAUCUAGGUCUAAGCACCAUGCUUACACCUAUACUACAACUCUCACCUAUAGCAUCCUAUAGAUUAAAGUACUCAAAAGAGUUGUGAACCAGAACAUACAUGGAUGGUAAUUGCAUAAUGAAAUAGAAGUAGUUUAUCAGAGUCAUCCCAUGAGCAAGCUUGAUUAGAGCUUGAUCAUGGCGAAGUACAACCGGAGGAAGAACCGACAGGCCGGCCUCUCCUCCAAUCCUCCCCCGCUCUCCAUCUCGCUACUAUCUAGAUCUACUCUAGUUUAGAGAUGAGGGGAGAGCUCUCAUCUCCAAACCCUAGCUUUUGCUCUGUCUACGAAUAAUGAAUAAGGAUGAAGGGGUGCCUCCUCCAGGGGCCAGGGGGCCUGCUUAUAUAGUCCCCUCAAGUGAAUCUAGGCCGUCGGAUCAAACCGACAUUGAUUGAACGGUUAUCCUUUAUCCUUUAGGUCGGUGGAGCAUAAUUCGUGAGAUUGAACGUGAUUGGUGGAAAUAGUAGGGCGAGCGCCCAAGGGGGGAGGGCGAGCGCCCUACCCCCGAGCCCGCUCGGUCUCCCGUUCGUUCUCGUGGCUUCUGGAGUCUUCUAGAUGAUAGAAAAUUGCGCGACACGUUAAUAUCUCUAUGUAAACCCGACGUGUGGGCCUUUCCUCCAUAUUUCCUGAUAACCCCCUGCAGAAAUAGACAAACACCAAAACUCAUGGAAUUCUAUCAGAUAAAACCCUAAGUCUGGGAGUUGGUUGCAUUUGGAUCCUUUUCUUUAUUUAUUUGAUGAUUAUAUUUGGUACUUAAGGACCGUCAACAACAUGUUAGACGAACUUUUGAAAGGCUUCAUAGUGAUCCCUGCCGGCCUCCCUAGGAAGGGGGUUAAUUAAAAGAUUAGCUACCUCGAGCGAAAGGGUAAAUCAUGACUCAUGGGUAAAGAUGUACAACCUCUGCAAAGUGUUUAAAACUGGUAUACUAGCCAUGCUCACGGUCAAGAGCGGCCUUGGGGAUUCUUGCAUUAAGGGUGAUGAUUCUAGUUGUGUUGAAAUACUUAUUAUUUAUUGUUUAAUGCUCUACAUUAUUUAUGUCACAUUGAUCAUGAGAUUGUGGGAUCUAUACAAUCUAGUUACUAUACUUGUUGAGUUCGACAUGGACUCACUCUUGCUAUUUCCCCCAAACCUCAGGAGAAGUUUAGGCUUGUGAUCAACCAGUCAGUUGGAUCCUGUAGAGUGAAGUUAAUACCCGAAGUUUGGAGUUGUUUAUCCGUUGUUGCUAUCAAAGGUUAUCUCUUUUAUAGUAAGUACGUUAUAUAUUUAUGCAUUGUCUUUUGAUAUUACCCUUUAUUUGUAGCUAUAUGUGAGAAUUGACUUCUAAGACUCACAUAUGGUGUAUAUCUGGUUUUAUCCUUAAAAUCGGGUAUUACAUUAGUCAUGGUGAAGGUCGUGUUGUCUGCUAUCCCAAUAUAUCUUUUAUUAUCCUUGGACCUUCCGAAAUGGGUGCUUAAGGCUAUUGAUAAAAAGCGGUGAGGAUUCCUUUGGAAGGGUCACUAAUAGGCCAAUAGUGAAAAUUGCCUGGUACCUUGGGAAAAAGUACAGAGACCACUGGAAUAUGGAGCCGAUUCUUAAUCUUCAACUUCUUGGUUGGGCACUUAGGAUUUGGUGGCUCUAGGCGCAAAAGACAGGCUAAUAGGCCUUGGGAUGGCCUUCAUAUCACUGUUCCUCAUAAAGCUCGGGCCCUUUUCAAUGUUGUAGUUGAUGCAAUAGUCAAAAAUAGAGAGGAAAUCUUGUUCUGGUCAGAUAUAUGGUUGGAUGGGCAUACUAGAAAUAGUGCCUAACCUAUUCAAAACAGUCCAAAAAUGAACAAAAAGAACUGUGGCUCAAGCACUGCAUCAUAAUAGAAUGAAGUUGGGUACAAGAUAUUAAGGGAGUUCCUACAGUAGAGGGGACUCCUUGAUUACCUCCACAUUUGGGAUAUUGUGGAGGAAAUUAUUUUGCAACCAGAGAUUCCAAACCGAUUUAGAUGGAAACUAUCACAGGAUGGUUCUCACAGCAGUAAAUCUGCAUAUGCAGCCUUCUUUGAGGUAUCCAUCAAGUUUGGUUCUUAGAGAAGGAUCUAGAAAAAAACCUAGCCUCCCACGCACUGUAAGUUUUUCAUCUGGCUAGUGUUCCACAAUCAGGUUUGGAUAGCCGGUCAACUAGCGAAGAGGAAUCUUGCCCAUCUUGAGUCUUCUCCCUUAUGUGAUCAAGAAGAUGAAACAAUAGAUCAUUUGCUAGUGGGCUGUGUACUCACUCGACAAGUCUAGUCCUUAGUUCUACAACAACUGGGACUAGUGCAGUUGGCACCACAGCCCACUGUGACUCAUUUCUUGAGGUGGUGGAAAAGGUCAACCGCAAUUGUCCCCAAGGAAGCGCAUAAAGGCCUCAACUCCUUGAUAAUUUUGGUGGCAUGGAAGAUUUGGAAGCAUCGCAACUCUUGUGUCUUUGAUAAUAAGAGGCCAAACGUUCAGGAGGUCCUUAGGGCUAUUAACUCAGAGGGAGGGCUCUGGUUCUCGGCAGGGGCCUCCAAACUCUAGGAACUUGUUGAUCUCUUCUUUUUCUUGCACCAUAGCCUUUCUUCUUCAUAAAUUUGCCAAAUUUGCACACAAAGAGAGCUAGCGCUUCAUCAUCAAUGUCUCUAACUUCCUCAUCUUCACUUGAUUCUUCUUUCUUUGCUUUGCCCUUGCUCUUGGAUGAACUAGCCUUGAAUGCCACACUUUUCUUUUUCUUGUCUUCAUCCUUCUUCUCAUCUUGGUCAACCUCUUCCCUUUCCACAUGGUAUGUCUCUUGUGUCAUGACAUCACCUAGUACUUGGUUAGGGGUAAGUUCUUUCAAUCCUCCUCUUAUAAUGAUUAAUCUUAAUGUCUCAAAUCUUGGAGGUAGGCACAUUAAGAUCUGAUGGGAUACAUCAUCAUCAUUUAUCUUCUCACCCAAGGCCUUUAAAUUAUUCACAAUUACUUGCAAUCUAUAGAACAUCUCCGGAAUACUUUCAUCAUCCUUCAUCUUAAAACUUGUCAACUUAUCUUUGAGAAUAUACAAUUUUGCACUCUUGACCGCCGGUGUGCCCUCAUAUGUUUCCUCUAAUCUCUUUCACACUUCACUUGCUCUAUCACAAUCCUUGAAUUGCUCAAACACCUUUGAAUCAAUUGCAUUAUAUAUAGUGUUGAGAGCCAUAGUGUUGCAUUGCUUGUUUACUUUAUCAUGGUUGGUGAGAUUGGUGGGAUCAAGAAUCACAAAAUCACUCUCGAUAACAUCCCACACUUGAUCAUUGAUUGAACCCAAAUACAUCUUCAUUUUUCUCUUCCAAUAAUCAUAUCAUGUACCAUCAAAGAACGGUGAUUUGCCCCCCCCCCACAUGGUUGAACACAAUUUGAGCCAUCUUUUGACACCGAAGGUUGUUAAGCCUUGAUUGAAUGGUGACCACGGCUCCGAUACCACUUGAAAGGUCCAAAUAUGGCUAGAGGGGGGUGAAUAGCCUAUUUAAAAAAAUCUACAAAGCACUAGAGCAACGGAUUAAUAUAACAAAAGGCGUAAACCAAUUUUGCUCUAGCUCUAUAAGAGUUGCAAGCCACCUAUCUAAUAAUUCUAGUUGCUAAGAUCACUAGGCACAAGCAAUGGCUAUGUCACUACUCUCUAAAACUAGUUACAACUAGCUAAAAAAAGGUAAUACUAGUUACAACUAUUUUGCAAGAAAGUAAAGAGAUGAGUGAUAAUUAUACUGAUGUGUAGAGGAUGAACCAAUCACAAUGUGUAUCAAAAUAUUCAUUAGGAGAAUACCAAUCACAAUAUUUACACCAAUAUUUUUCUCCCAAGGUUCAUGUGCUUGCUGGCACGCUAGUCCCCGUUGUGUCAACCAAUACUUGGUGGUUCAGCGGCUAAUAAGUGUUUCACAAACCUAGCCCAACAAAUGGGCACUGUAAGAAUCUACCCACAAGUGAGGUAGCUCAAUGACACGAGCAAUCCACUAGAGUGGCUUUUGGCAUUCCGCCGGGGAAAAAGCCCAAGAACCCCUCACAAUAAAUCCUUGAUUAGGGGCGGACACAAUCACCAAAUCCCCUCACCAGUCAACAAAUCCACAACGUCUAGGUGACGACAAUCACCAAGAGCAAUAAGAAAUCAACUAUUGCAAUCACAACCUAGUGCCACGAAUAUGAAUCAGAAAAGCAUGAACACUAGGGUUUCCUCAACUCCUCUCACCAAAGAGAACCAACAAUGGGAAUGGAGAGGAGAGGGAGGAGAUCCUCUUGGAGCUCUCAAAUCGAUCUCUAGAGCUUGCUCUCUCACUUGAAUGGAGCACAAAUCCUUGGAGUGAGAGAGGAGGAGAGAGCUUUUCUUAGGGUUCUUCAAGAGAGCAAGAAUGGGGAAUAGAUUGAGGAGGAAGAAAGGAAGGGGUAAGACCCCGACCUUAUCCUCAGCCAGCCACUCAUCCGACCGUUGCAGCAGCCCAAUCUCACGAGAAAUUCAAGUGCGGGUAGGAAAUAAUUCCAGGUGCACACACUUUUGACCAUUGGUCUGGGUGAACUCUAGUACCGAAAAAUUUCCAGUGCGGGGCAACUAAAUUUCCAGCCAAAACUCUCUGUUGCACGCACAAGACCAUUGGGUGCGACUAGAUCUAAGCUCAACCGGAUUUCCAAGUAGGGCCAUGAAAAUAUCCAGGUAGAGGAAUGAAAAUUCCAAUCGGCCCCUCUCUGUUGCAAGCACAUACACUAGAAUAUCCAGUAGGGUAGUGAAUACCUCCGAUCGACCCCUUACUGUUUGGGCAUGACUACUAACUUGUUUUUCAACUAAAAACCUCCUUUUCAAGGUGCUAACUCUCCCAUGAAGUACCAAAACAAUUGAGCACUUAGGUUAGCAUGUUCACAAAUAAUUUUAGUGCUUUCUCAAGUAUUCUCACCAUGUCACUAAGCGCAACAAAUGUAUGCAAGAGAGACUCACACUUAGUGGCACUAGAUAACUAUUGCAAUUAAAGAUUUCCCUUCUUUAUAGUACGGUUAUCUAUUCUAAAUCCACUCAUACCCUCUAGAUGUCUUGAGUGGCAAAACAAAAUGGCCCUAUUAAAAAUAACUUUGCCCUAAGCCAAUUUUGUUUUUCUCUUUCUUCUUUUCCAAGUUGGAGCACUUGAAUAUCAUCUUUUGGUCACCUCCAUCACCAUGACCAUCAUCUAGCUCCAUCCCUUGGUGUGUACCAACCUAUCUUUGUAUUUCACUCAUGACAAAGGUUAGUACACAAAGGUUUCAUCAAUUAUUCAAAACCAAACUAGGGCUUUCAACAAGGUACACAUGAUCAUGAGCAUAACAAGCAUAAAUUAGCCAGAAAGCAAACACUUAGGACAUGAAAUGAUUGGAUCCACAUGGCAUGAUGCUCAUGGAAUGAAAUGAUGAUGAUCAUGCUUAUGUCAUGCAAGAAAAUAAUGCAACCAUAACACCGGGGUGUUACAACUUCAUUGCCAUACAUGCAAUGAAGAUAAUGACAAGUCAACUAAGGACAAGAAAUAGAAAAAGGAUGACAAAGAAGGUAAAAACAUGGCAUUCAAGAAGAAGAAGAAGAAGAAGAAGAAGAAGAAGAAGAAGAAGAAGAAGAAGGGACAUGUCUUAUGUAUUGACUCUGAUAGUGAUCCUUCUUCAAGUGAAGAUGAGAUGACCCCCACCAAGCCUACAAGUAUGGCCACAAAACAAUGUAGAUGGAUUAGUUUUAACUUUCAUCCUUAUUUCUCUCCACGACCAAAUAAUAAAUUUUUUACUAAAAAUUAAAUUCUUAUAUUAAUUAUCUAACCCUUAGUUUAACUCCCACACCUCCUCUUAAUAGUUGUUCAUCGCAUUGUAAAUCCAAUUGUAUCCAAGUUUACCAUUUUUAAAUACCAAUAAGCCUACUAAGGAUGAAAAUGGAACGAAAAUAUGCCGAACAGAACCGCAUCGUUUUCUAUAUUUAAUCUGAUCGAAUUCGUAUUUUCUUAUCCGACUAUACCGUUUUCGUUUUCGUAUUUUAGAUGUUUCAUAUUUUAAAUGUAAAAGUAGAAAAAUAGUGUAGACAUUUUUCGACCGUUUCUACUUUUCUACUUUUAAUUUGAAAUAUUUCGAAUUCAAAAUUUGGUUUAAACCGAAUUUAGCCAACUACAACGGUCACACAGCCCAAUUACAGUCUACUCACCAUGCAGUUGUGUUCUUUCUGCUAGUGGUUAGCUGCCCUCUCUUUUAUAGACACCCAGUCUCAUCUCUUUUGACCUCACGACAAUAACCUCUCAAUUCGAGUUCAUAUUCCAACAACAUUUAAUUUUAGUUUACAUUCUAAAAUAGUAUGUUAAUUGCUACAUCUAAUUUCAAUUCCUAUUAUCCUGCUAGUUAUUAAUUGUUUGUUCUAAGCUUAUAUUUAUGUGUGGGCUAUUGUAUUAAAUACCUAAGACUAAGGAUCAUAUAUUUUUUAAUUAUUAUAUGUACUUGAAUUUGAUCGUGUAUGUACUUAGUCAUGCACUUGGUACUACGGGUCGGUAUUUCGUAUCGACGUUGUUUGACAUAAUCCACUCAAAUUGGUUUGUUUUCGAAAUUCUCAAUAUUUCGUAAGUUCAUGUUCGUUUUUGUGUCUGACUUUACUAUCUUCGUUUUCAUAUUUCAAAUGUAGAAGUAGAAAACAAUUUAGAAAUUUUUCGACCGUUUUCAUCCCUAGAGCCUACAAUUAGUGAUGCUAGUUGUAAUUAUUAUGGGUCUAAAAUUUGACGAAACGAACGAGAAUGGCACUUCAUAUAAUUUAAAUAAUUGGAGAAAUAAAUUCAAAUGGUACCAUUACUACUUAUAGGCCUUGUUUAGUUCAAGAUUCCUCGUCACAUCGAAUUUUGUGGCACAUGCAUGAAACAUUAAAUAUAAUCGAAAACAAAAACUAAUUACACAGUUUAGUUGUAAAUCAAUCUUUUGAUCCUAAUUAUUCUAUGAUUGGAUAAUAUUUGUCACGAACAAACGAAAAUGCGAAAACUUUUCACUUUUCGGAAAAAGGGCCAUAAUCGAAAAACGAGAGAAAAUUGCAACCGGUUAAGGCCCUGUUUAGAUUGGGAACGAAAAUUUUUUGGGUGUCACAUCGGAUGUGUCGGAAGGAUGUCGGGAGGAGUUUUUAGAAACUAAUAAAAAAACAAAUUAUAUAGCUCGUCAGGAAACUGCAAGACAAAUUUAUUAAGCAUAAUUAAUCUGUCAUUAGCAUAUGUGGGUUACUGUAGCACUUAAGGCUAAUCAUGGAGUAACUAGGCUUAAAAGAUUCGUCUCGCGAUUCUUAACUAAACUGUGUAGUUAGUUUAUUUUUUUAUCUACAUUUAAUGUUCCAUGCAUGUGUCCAAAGAUUCGAUGGGAUGGAUGAAAAAUUUUUGGGUAGGAAACUAAACAGGGCCUAAAGCUACCGAUGUCCAUUAAUGCCCAAACUUACCAAUCAGAAACUUUUUUUUUAGAAUUACCAAAAUUAGAAACUGGUCAACUGGGGAUUGGCAACCGGGCUCUCCUUCCCAAUUGGUCCCCAUGCGAUUUGCUUGUCCGCCAUGGGAGGCUAGCUCAAGCCUCUUCCUCAGAGUUGAUAAAUAGCCCGCCACUCUCGAUCACUUGUCACUAGACUACACCGCGCCCAUGCCGGUGUGGUCGCCUAGCUCGUGAUCCUGUUCUCCUGGCCACAAGUUGCGGUUCGGUUGGUGCUCCUCAAUCUUGGAUCUUCCGCUUCGCCUCCUUCCUGAUCCGCGAAUAUUGUCGCUUAUGGACUGGGCGUCCUGACGGCUUUCCUUCCUAUCUUCUUGCAGGAGAUCUCUGGUACGUCUGGCGCAGCCAUCGGAACCCAUACUUUGUCCUUGACUCAGUUGCGUGCUGGUUCCUCCUGUGGUUCCAUGACAUGUGCACGGGCCAUGCUCGACGAAAUGGGUUUGAGAAGUUAUGUUACAUGGUAGUCGCCGUCCUUGGGCUUGUCAUGGUCGAUUGAGAAGACUGGUAUUGGUUCCUGAGCAUGGCUGGGUCGGGGAAGACUGUUGUUUGGUUCAGGAGAGACCUCAGGAUCCACGAUAACCCGGCCUUGGCAGCUGCGGCGAAAGAGGGCUCUGUCCUCCCUCUCUUCAUAUGGUGUCCUGCUGACUACGAGCAGUAUUACCCUGGAAGGUGCUCCCGGUGGUGGCUCAAGCAGUCCCUUGCCCACCUUGGGAAGUCACUAGAGUUGCUCGGGUGCCCACUCGUGCUGAUCCGUGCGGAGGACAGCACUCUUGCAACUCUUUUGGAGUGCGUCCAUUGCAUCAGUGCCACUAGAGUCGUUUAUAAUCGUCUCUACGGUAACUUUACUAGCCUGUCUUAUACAAUUUUUCAGCACAAUUACUUCUUUAUUAUUUUUUUCUCCUUGGAAGGAUUUUAUUUUGAAAGCUUUUGCAUGAUUCACUUGGUCCUUUGAUUACAUAUUCAAAGCUUUCAGCCAGUUACAGUAUGUAACUUUGUUAGUCUUAAAAUGUUUCGACCUAAUUGCAUACAUUGGACUGUGUUGUUUUUUCUCGAGCACAUAAGAGAGCUUUGUAUCUGUGUAUAAAAGAGAGGGAAAAGGGGGAAAGAGUUCCAUAAACCUCCUUACCCCACCUUGGAGGUAUGAUGAGGUUACAAGAUAACAUCCGAAAUGAUCACCUGUUAUACAAACGAAUAUAUGGACCCAACCAGAACAACAAAACCCACAUUGAGCCCUCUGCAUGACGAAGGAAAAGAAAAGAAGAAAACUCCUGCACCUUUCAAGAUCCAGCAUUACACCACAGCCUCAUCUCCACUUUGAAGAAGUGCUGGGAAAGAGACAUCUAUUCCUGUGAUUCCACUUGGUCAAAGCCACUUUGAAACCCUGUUCCUUGGGCCUUGCCAAUUUUUGACUUGCUUUUGUCCACCACUCUGCAAAGCUUUUUUUUUUUCAUUACGUCUAGGCACCAUUAGCUCCAGAUCAAGAGGGUCCAGCAAAUGUGUUAAUCUCAAGGUGAUACAAGUGAAACAGUUUGCAGAGUUCUAGCUCCAAAACUUUGGUAUUUAACACUGCAGCUCACAUUAGUUGUGGUUUACCAUCUUCUACUAAACAUGAAAUUCCUAGGUAGAAAAUUUUCCUUGUUUAACCACUUGCUUAUCAUAGUGUUACGGCGCCUGGCCUUGCUGCGGAGGAAGUAGGAAGGAGAGACGGGGGAGUGUUGGCGUAGGGGUUUGCGGCGAGCUGGAGCCGUGAUCUGCUAUUUGCGGCAACGGAGGGGACGAGGAACAGGAGCGCCAGGCGCCUAAGGGAGAUAAGAAUAUCUCAAUCCCAGGCUGACCUUCUAUUAUUCCAUAUGGUUAGCCUUUAUAGGCAUUACAAGACCUGCCAAUAAUAUGGCUAACCGACUCCACAAGUCCUGGACUCCUAAAACAACUCUUAACCAACCAAUCUAACUUAACUUAGACUCUAACUCUUCCUGCUAUCCGACUCUGUAGACACAGCUCAUGCAUGUGCGCCUAGAAUUAGGACUCCCAAUCAUGACCUGACCGCAUGCUGGGAUUAGCCACGCUGCCUACGAUGAUAGGUCUUACCGACCAUAACACAUAGACUUCAGUUGAAAUACAUUAGUAAGUGCUAUAUUUCACUUAUAUCUGCAUAGUAUGUAGAAGAUCAAAAUUUAUAGUUAAAGCAAGCAAGUGAUAAAAAAUGUAAACAGUAAUCUAGCAUUAGUCUUUCCUAAUUUUAACAUGAUAGAAGUCAGGAAGCGGUUUUUCUUAAAAAUCUAAAUGUACAACAUUGGAUUGAGCAAUUAGGCCAAUGAACAAUGACUGAGCUCCAUGUAAUCAAGUUCAGGAGGUCACAUGAUGAAAGUCUUAUUGAAACAAAUAAGUACACUACCAGGGCCCUAUGGUCCCCAGUUCUAUAUUGGAACUCUGACAUUUCCUAGAGCUGUUGAACUUUGAUAUUCUUAAACCCAAUUCCAUCCCUUGUGUGAUUGCAUGUCUUCUCCAUUGGACUUGAACCAAUAUAUGAUUCCUAUUAAGAAAUAAGUUUAUUAAUAAUCAUUGGUCUGCGACAGUUUCUGUGCUGCACUAUCCAUUGCUCUACCCAUUUGCCACUUACAAUUUUUUCUGCUUCAGUUCCCUUGUGAUGCCUUUUUAUUCUUUCCUACACUGUAGACCCUAUUUCACUUGUGCUUGACGACAAAAUCAAGAAUGAGCUUUCAGCCCAUGGCAUAUCUGUCCAAAGUUUCAAUGGUGAUCUACUUUACGAGCCGUGGGAUGUUUAUGAUGAGAAUGGGCAGGCAUUUACAUCCUUUAACAAGUACUGGGAGAAAUGCAUGAAUGUUCCUAUUGAGAUAUCACAAUAUCUUGCACCUACGAGGCUGGUGGCAGCGCCAGGUAACUUUUUGCCAUAGCAUCAUUUUCUCUUCUUGAACAUCUGUACAAUUUCUUAUUCCUCUGCACUACAUUGAAAUUUUCUUUUUAGUUUUGGUUCCUCAUAUAAUUUCUAGAAUGGCUUGAGUUAGUUGUUUGCUCCAAAGUACUAUUCAUUCGAGUAUUCCACAUUUCAAUUUUAGUGAUUGCUCCUCUAACUAUUUGGAUUUAAUGUCUCUCCAGUCAACAAAUCAGCAUACUUCUGCUUUAAUUUUAAUAAUUUGGUGUAAAAUUCAGGUCUAGCGAAUGUUCGCUGUUGUUCAAUUGAUGAUCUAGGUCUUGAAUCUAGUAAGGAUGUGGAAUCAAGCAAUGCUUUGCUAAGCAGGGCCUGGUCUCCUGGCUGGCGCAAUGCAGAGAAUAUGCUUGAGGAAUUUUUGUCAUGUGGUCUCCUAGAAUAUUCAAAACACGGUAUGAAGGUUGGGGGAACUACAACGUCAUUAUUGUCACCAUAUCUCCAUUUCGGGGAGUUGAGUGUAAGGAAGGUUUAUCAACUUGUUACAAUGCAUCAUGUCAAGUGGCAAAAUGAAGGAAAAUCUGAAGCUGAGGAGAGUGUUCGAUUGUUCCUAAGAUCAAUUGGUUUUCGGGAAUAUUCACGGUACUUAUGUUUUAACUUCCCAUUCACGCACGAGAGAUCAUUUCUGGGUAACUUGAAGCAUUAUCCCUGGCUAUUGGAUGAGGACCGUUUCAAAUCUUGGAGACAGGGAAUGACUGGAUACCCAUUAGUAGAUGCUGGCAUGAGAGAACUCUGGGCUACUGGUUGGACACAUAAUCGGAUAAGAGUGAUUGUUUCAAGUUUCGCUGUAAAAUGUCUACAGAUACCCUGGAUUUGGGGAAUGAAGUACUUUUGGGAUGUGCUUCUGGAUGCAGACCUAGAAAGUGAUAUUCUUGGUUGGCAGUAUAUAUCUGGGAGUUUGCCUGAUGGACAUGAGCUCAGCCGUCUUGAUAAUCCAGAGGUAUGGAAUUACAAGAAGAAUGCAUUUUAGCUCCAAAUCUUACUUGAACUAUUAGUUGAUGUGAGCCUCUGUCAACUCAUAGACUCACUGCUGUUACUUGAUUACACAAGAAUACACAAAGACUCGAGUGUUUUGGCGCUGCAAAGAUGCAGCUUUUGUUGCUGCCUGUUAUUUAUAACUGAAAUGUUUACAAGAAAGAGUCAUGCUCAAGUAACUAACAGUUGGCCAUAGUGGCUCCUAGAAACUAUAGCUCACGACUUAGGCAACUGACCCACUAACCAACUACCCUUAUGCCUGGAAACAGGAUAAUACUAACUCUGAACAAAGACUCGGGCUCUGAACAAAAGACUUGACACUAACCUACUGGUUAUGCAGGGAUUACUUCCAACAGUUCAACCUGAUUGAUCACAUAAAGUUAACUUAUACACAACACAAGUUUAAAUGAGGAACUUCAGUUCAUGACAUAAUUCAUGGAUUUACCUUUUGUGAUGAUUGCUUGCACUACUCUUUUCUGAAAAAAAUGCUGUCACUAUAGGUUCUUACUAAAUAUUGUUCAUUUGUUAACAGCCCUUCACAGAUUUUUAUAGUCGCCUACUCCAUCCUGUCUAAAAUACUUGAUACAUUUGGUUUUGCAUAGUAUUUAUUUAAUGCCUAUCUUUGACCACUAGUUUAUUAUAGAAAAUAUUGUAAGAUCCUUGAAAUUUAAGUUGUUUGCAAAUUAUUAUGAAAUACAAUUCUAGAUAGAUAAUUUACAUGUUUCUAUACUACAUAAUAUAAUUAUUAUUGAUGUUUGUAAUUUUUAUGGUUUGACAAAAUGUUUUCCUAAUUGACAUGUUUUUGUCAUUGGAAUGAGUACCAGUUUUUAAUUAUUUUUGGUAAACGCUUUGUUCUGGGGAUUAACUUAUUUAUACAAAAGAGGUCCUGAUUGGCCUUUUUUUAUGUGAAAGUAGGUUCAGGGUCAAAAGUACGAUCCAGAUGGUGAAUAUGUAAGAACUUGGAUUCCUGAACUUGCUAGAAUGCCAACAGAAUGGAUCCAUUGUCCAUGGAGUGCUCCUAACUCUAUAUUACAAGUUGCUGGAGUUGAGUUGGGCUUUAACUACCCUAAGCCCAUAGUAGAACUUCAUAUGGCGCGGGAAUGCUUAGAUGACGCCAUCUCCACAAUGUGGCAACUGGACACAGCUGCAAAACUUGCUGCACUAGAUGGUGAAGUUGUGGACGACAAUCUGAAUAAUAUCAGGAGUUUUGAUAUCCCAAAGGUUGUUUUGAAGAAGAAAUUAUCUCCAAGCACUUCAUCGAUGAACAAAAGGGUGCUGUCUACUAAUGGCAAGAACGAAAAGUCACAGCCUACUGAAGUGAAGGCCCCGUACAAACAGAUUAUUCGAGAUGAUAUGAUCAAUGCCUCAAACAUGGAUGACACCGGCUCUACUGCUAACUUGCAAGUGACAAGGAAAAGAUCUCGCAGUGAUAGUGCUUUCAAUGUUCCGUCAUCUUCAUCCUCACUAGUCAUGGAAUCACGGAUUCAUGAUAAUGACAGUUGUUCUGUUCGGUAUUCAGGCUACCUCCAGCAGACAGCAGACAGGGAUGACACUGAUAAGGUAAUUUGGAUUAUCUUUGCAUAGAAACAAUAAUUUCAUCUUUCCCUCAAAAAAAAAAAGAAAAAAGAAACAACAAUCUCAUAGGAAAGUUCAUAUGAAUUGCCAUAUUGUCCAGUUUUCCAAAAGGUAAGUAAGCAUCUGAUAUGGGUUUUAAAAACAAAGAGCAAACAUCCAGUUAGGACAUCAUUGCACGCCAUAGAAGUUGACCUCUUAAUGGACUAGUUUUAACUGAUGUAGAAUACGCUACAUGAAGAACAAAAAUAUGUAGCUGAACUUUAGGCCGAAGAACACAAUCAAGUAAUUUGUCUGAUUGUUCUUUAAAGGUGGAUAGCAGAUUGACUUGACAGGUUCUGUAGAAAUAAAUAACGUUCAAAAAAGUCAUUCAGGUGCCACUGCUUGGCAUGCGUCGAAGUCAUGCACAUGAGCACAUCAAUCGACCUAUGAUGCCAAAUCCACAUGGGGUUCAAUGAUUUGUGAUACUUUGCUAUGUCUUGCUUUAUUUUGUGACAGAGCUGUAAACCUGUACAACCCUGAAAGAGUCAAAAUUAAUAGCAUUUGGUCAAGGAAAAACCUUGAAAAAUGUUGAGAACUCCUUUAAAUGUAGAGUAAAUUUGACAAAACUACAAUAAUUUGUACGAUCUUCUAUAAAACAAAAAUGCCCAGGUAUCCUUCACAAUUUGCUCCACACAAAAAUUGAAAACCCUCUUGGGACCAGUUCUAGUUUGGUGUUACUAGGGAGACAAGAUGUUAUUCAAAAAUAAACUAAUUUAGAAGUUAUUAUUUUUUGAUACUUAUUAGUUAUUAGGUGCGGAUUGUUGUUUUUGGCAAUUUACUCAAAAAUGUAAUCAAUUACCAGAGCACAUAACACCAGUCUGAUUUAACCAUUUCUAGGGCCUAAAAAAUGCGGAUGAUCCCAUCCUAUAUUUGUAUAUUUAUUAUUUCUUAUUGCAUGUGUUCAAAAUACUAUUUUGGGGAAUGAUAAUAUAUUCCUAUAGACAUCUGAAUCACUACUUACAGGUUGAAGAUAACGACAGUGAAGAUAGUGGUACGAGCAUCUCUAGGCCAUCCAAGAGACCUGCUUAGCACUAGCGCAUUGAAGAUGUUGCAAAUCUCUGAUGGGAACUAUUUGCCGUCACAUGUAAUUUUUUGGGUGCUUUUUUAUUGAUCAUGUAAAAGUUAUUCUGUAAUUUAUAACUAGUUUGACACCGCCAACCCUUACUCCGAUAGGAGGCAACUUUUGUUUGAUUGAAGUACAUUGCUCACUGACAUGCCAUAGUUUGGGGCCGCUGCUUAACUGUCUUUAUUUAGCCUCGUUUAAAUGGCUACCAAGCCAACGGUCCAUGUUGGGAGUAUCAGCUUACAAGAUAGUUCAAAGCAUUUAGGCCAAGGGUUUGAUCAUCACAGUUGGAUCAAUUGGAUGUUCGGCCUUCAGUGUUUACGAGGAGUGAUUCGGUUAGAGCUGAAGGUCUGAGUUGAGUCUUGGGGUUAAAACCUUGUUUUGUUUUCUAUUUGACGCAAGUGUGCGUUUAAACUCUGUAUGAACCUGAAGUUGUUGCUUUCUGAAAUACAAAAGCAGGGGAAAUCUUUCAUUAAAAAAUUUGCAAAUUGGAUACUGUAAUAUUUUCCUUUGUAUUUGACAAAUAUUGUUCAAUCAUGAACUAAAUAGGCUCAAAAGAUUCGUCUCGCAAAUUACAGACAAAUUAUGCAAUUAGUUAUUUCUUUUAUUUAUAUUUAAUGCUUUAUGCAUGUAUCGUAAGAUUCGAUGUGACGGGAAAUUUGAAAAAUUUUGUAAAAUUUUUUGGAAACUAAACAAGGCUGAACAAUUACUUGGGCCUUAUUUAGUUUGUAAAAAGAAAAAUUUUUGGGUACUAUAAUACAUUUGAAACUAUAUCGAUUCGUGUCUGGACUAAUUAGUCUUAAAAGAUUGUCUCACAAAAUACAUAUAACUUGUGCAAUUAGUUAUUUUUUAAUCUAUAUUUAAUACUUCAUCCAUGUAUGCAAAUAUUCAAUGUGUUUGGGCGAAAAGUUUUUUAGGUGGGAACUAAACAGGGUUUUAGCUUCUACUACAUCCGGUCUAUUUUAUUAGACGCACAUUGUAUAUCAAAUUUAAACUUUAAAAACUUUGACUAAUAAUUAGACUAAUAAUUAUUAUAAUACAAACUAUAAUAUAAUAUAAUAUAAUAUAAUAUAAUAUAAUAUAAUAUAAUAUAAUAUAAUAUAAUAUAAUAUAAUAUAAUAUAAUAUAAUAUAAUAUAAUAUAAUAUAAUAUAAUAUAAUAUAAUAUAAUAUAAUAUAAUAUAAUAUAAUAUAAUAUAAUAUAAUAUAAUAUAAUAUAAUAUAAUAUAAUAUAAUAUAAUAUAAUAUAAUAUAAUAUAAAUGAAUGGUUAAAUUGUAAUCUAGAAGAUCGUGUCAUUCUAACUUGCACCAAAUAAAAUGGAUCAUAGUAUAAUCUAUUUUUUAAUGCUCCAAACCAUCUCAUCAUGAGCUCUAAAUACUUUAUUUCAGUUUCUCAUAUUCUAAGAUAUCUCUGAAAAUUUUUUCUGAAAAUUUUUAGAGCUUUCGGAGUUUUUUUAGCGUAAAUAAUAAUUAUGGACUUUUCUAAAAUUAUUUUAUCGACAAAAAUAAUUAAUUCUGAAAAUAAUUAAUCUUCUAUUUUACCUCAACCCAACGCUCAAGUUCGUCAUGAUCUCAAAGGCCAAUGCAUUUAUUUACUAAUAGGCUUAAAUGUUUAUUAAGACUUAUAAGUAAAGAUGGACGGCGCAACAUCAAUUAAUAUCUUAUCGCUAGUUAACAUAGAGGUGGAGAGUUUUUAUCUCUGUAUAUAUACUCCCUCUAUACCCAUAAUUCUUGACGUUUAAGACAUAAUUGUAGUAACCAAGGAGUGAUUAAGUAGAGGUUAGUUUUCUAUGUCUACUCCUAAAUAUGAUUACGGGUGUUUUUAUACGAGGAAGCAAACUAGCUCAGCUGGCUAGUAUGCGAAAGCUAAAGUAGCGGGGCUCUGGUUCGAUCCCUGGUGGCCAUGGUGGGCGCAUACGCUAGGCUGGGCGUGGACAACCUGGUGGGCGUGGCUUGGCGCAUGCAAGCGGAAUCCCUAGUGACCACUCAUUUUUGCCAGGGGUAAAUAGGUCCGACAGGUAUCAUGCAUGGCCAGAACCUCAAGUUUUCUAAAAAUGCUCAAAUUGUGUAGAAUGUCAAUUAAAAUGGGUAUGGAGCUGAGGAAGUAUAACACUAGACAAACCACACCAAAAGUCUCUAAUUUAUGAAAUCCCUUUUAGUAAAUUAGAUUAGAUUUUUCUCCUUCUCACACUGCUGCCCGUCGGAACGCCGCCGUCCGUGCCUGUUCCCCUUCUACCCAACAAAAAGACCGGUUGAAAUCUCGUUGGAUGCCCGAGGUGGCCACGUGAAGCAUUUACUGCUAACUUCGUUGUACUGGUUUGGUCAGGCGGCCAAGCCAAGUGCUGACUGCACGUAGGAACGAAUCCACCAACGUGAGUCUUUGCCUUUUGGUUUAUCUUUUCUUUUUCAAUCAAUUCUUUAUUCCUUGCUUUAACUUAGAACAUGGCUAACAGCUUUGAUUAUAUCUACCACCGCCAUGCAAGCGUCCCUAGCCGCUUGUCCGUCUUAAGGCCAAGCAAGCUCGCUCCUAUGUCUAUCUGUUUAUCACCAUGACCAGAGCAUGCUACGGAUGACAUAUAUAUGCAUGGUAAUAGUCUUGUGAAAUUCUUCCACCGUUUAUUUUUUCGUCAGCUAUAUAUCUUUUUGACUUGUAAAACUUCCGUUCAAAUACAUAUACUUGUCAAAGUUAAUAUGUUCACGCCUUUUUAACCCGUAGCUCAAAUUUCACUUGAUCUUGUUGCAGUAGUUUUGUAGCAAUGUAAUCUCUAUGUGUUAAUACGAACGAUCAUUCUAUCACUAUAUGUGUUAGUACGAACGAUCAUUCUAUCACAUGGCUAUGAAUUUCAUAAUUGAAAUAUUAACUUAGUUAACUUGCAUGUAUCUAGUUUUCUAAUUAAAACAAUAUAGAUGUCACAAUUUGUCAUUUUAUAUGAAAAUAUUUAUAUGGUUUAAUUAAAUGCUAUCACCAAUCUGUUUUUAUAUUAUAAUUUGUUUAGCCUGAAUCCACGCCACAUACAGUUCGAGUAGGUGCUCUCACAUGUCCUUUUAUUUUGCAAAGUAAUGUUUAACUUGCUUAAUAAUUAAAAUCCACAUAUAUAUAUCUUUGUAAUUUAUAAAUAAAAUAUUAAUAUGAUUAGUUACUUUCACAUACACUUUUUCUUUUGCAAAGAUAAAAUUUAACUUUGUUCAAUUAUAUGACAUUGUUUACAAGCAAAAUAAAAUAUGAUUAAAUUUACUUUAGUUUUCUAAUCUCGAAUAUAAUUUGACUUCCAUUUUGAUAUUUCUCUACAAUAUGUUAUACAUGCUUUUAUAUUGUUAAAAUAAAUGAAACUCAUAGUUUUUUUUUCUCGUAAAGUAAAUCUUGUGGUACUCGUUUAGUUGUCAUUGUAGCUCUCGUUAGCGUGCUUUUUACGUCUCUAUGCUCGUAGCAAUGCAUAGAUUAAUUUUCAAAUCUUUUUAUUGAUUGGUGUACUGUUCUAAUCAUAGCUUUGUUUGCUUUGUGUAUGUUUGGCUCUGGUUUGCUUGUGUGUUGCUAUUCGAUGAUCGAGAAUAGACGGUGACCAGUACUUCAGUGAUCAAGAUCAGUCCCUUGACGACCAACAAGAUCAGCAAGAAUAGCAGAAAACGCUUUGAUCAAGGCAAGUAUAGCAUUGGGUUUUCUCUCAGUGACCAUGAUAUUGUGACUUGAUUAAUGUUUAAGCAACAAACGACAAAAAUGAUGUUUUAGCAACUUGAGGAUUUGUCUCCAAGUGAACACCGGGAUUGACAGUGUAACCAUUAGGGCUAUUAUGGCUCUGGCUUUAGCUCAGUAUGAAGACCUUUUCUAGCUUGUUAGAGGUUACCCACAAGGGCACUAGAGGGGCUUGCCGUUUUGGGUACAGUGCAGCCUCUGUCCUUAUGUGUAUAGGUUGCACGUCAUUGUGCCAUUCGGAAGGGGAUCUCUAUAUCUACGUGCCAAUUAGAAUCUCUUGCAGCCCUAACUUGUUAGAUGAACUUUUGAAAGGCUUCUAGUGACACAAAAAAUUGAUCCUUGUGCAACACACUCGAUGGCUCUCAGAGGGUGUCUAGAAGCUAGAGUUCUGGACCUCCUAAGCCUCAAGGCACGAGCUGAACUUGGUGAUUUGAAUCCAUGGCAUGCCAGUCAAUUUGACCUAAAAUUGACAAGGGAGAAAGACAAAUAUCAAAUUAUAGAACCUGCCGGUUGUUGACACUUCCAACACCAUUUAAGCUAAGUUGUCAUCCGUAGCAUGGCACAAGAAGUGUUGGUAUAAAAACUAUUCCUCUAAUAUAAUAAAUAUAGGAUCCACAAGUGUACAGAUUAAAUAUCAUUACAGCACUUUAUUGGAAAGUAUUUCAAGUAUCGUUAUUUAUCUUUAGCUCAAGGGAAAGAACUAAGUAUUUAAACAAUGAGAUGAACUUUCAAAACAUGACUACUUAUGAGUGUUGGGUUGCAUAGCCACAUACUUGGCUGAGGGGUAAACCAUGAUAGAUAAAUAAUACGAAGUAUAAAAGCCUAUGGAAUAAAUCACACAGAGAUUAGAGAUAGAAUACUCAGCUUAAUAAUAGGUCGACGUCUGUUAGUUCAAGAGAUAGAAAAUCCUAAGUAGUUCUAAUUUACUAAGUCAUUCAUCUAUUCUAAUUUUACACUAUCAUAUAUAGCACAAAAGACUCUUCAUCUACAUAUAAGGAACAUUGGUAUAAAAAGUCAAGAUAUAGCUAGACUUCCUAUGCAACUGCGGUUCUACCUAUCCUACCAACGAGGGAUGGAAUACGAAGGACUCAACGGAACUGUUACUUCUGUGGUCUACCACAUGACCCAGCUAAUAGGGUGUUAUUUGUAGAUAAACGACAUCUAGACACCAUGCUUACAUGACAUCUAUCACCUAACCCUCCUGCGAAGAGAGCUAAGCGCUUUGCAAACUUAUACACAAACUCAUUACCAAUCAUAGCCAUAUAAAAUGUAGAACUAGAAUAAACUAGAAACAUAAUAAAUAGAAGCAUAAUGAUAUUUAGAAUAAGGUCAAAAGAAAGAUACAAGAUGAUACCAAUCCUUGACGAUGAAGAUCCAGAAAUCAAAGCACAAGCGCUUGACUCUUCCUCUAUCUAGUCUACACCUAUUUAGAACAUGAAGAUCUGGAGUAGCUAUUCUAAUUCUCUGGUGAAGAUAUCUCUAAUCCCUAGUGCUGCUAAUGGCUACCUCUAAUUCUUAGUGGAGAGAAUGAAUUCAUCCUCCUGGGGGAGGGGAGAGGCCUUGAAUAUAUAGCCCUCAAGGAAGCACCACAGCCCUCAGAUCAAACCGAUCUUAAUAGAUGGUCAAGAUUACUCCUCAAAGAUGGAGGCAGGAUUCAUGAGGUUUCUCCUCAUUGGCUGAGGAGGCCGGGCGACCGCCCCUAGGGUAUGGGCGCCUGCCCAAGCUCUAUGGCAGGUGGGCCCCAGCUUUGGGUUGCUGCCUUCUCGAGUCUUCUAGAUUAUUCUAUGAUUACUGAUGUAGUCUUCUCUCUAUGUAAAUCUGACAUGUGGGCCUCUUUUGGCCAAUUUCCGAUAACCCCCUGCAGAAAUAGACAUUUAUCAAAACUCGUGGAAUUUGUUAGUGAAAACCCUAAGUCUAUGGUGAUGUUCAGUUUUUAUCCCCUUUUAUCUCUGUUGGCGAAUCUUACCGUAAUCACCGAAGAUAGACACUAGGCCUAGUCCCCAACAAUGACGCCAGAAAUGCCUGUAUGGGUACUUCUUAUGUCUAUUGGAUUAUUCCAUAAGCACACAGAAUAUACUGAUGGAUCACUUCACCAAGGAUGAGUAUUCCAAGGUAUCAUUGUUUAUUUUAUCCCAAGGGAAAGCAAUGCUAGGAAUGUUUAAUAAAAGAGAAGAGAGAUCCUAAUGUCUACUAUGAUCUAGUAUCAACUAGUGAGGAAGGGGGUAAGUAAAUGGUAGGAAGAGUAGAUAAGAUAACAAGGAAUCUAAGCUAAGAUAACUAGUAAAGAGUUAGCUAGGUGGGAGGACAACGAGUGAGUAUAGGACUCCUAUGUAUCUAACUUUACUCCUGAGGACCUAAUCCUAAUAGAUAACUAACUUAGCUAGACUAACUCCUUACUACUUGUGUGAGGGGGAUAGCUGAGAAAAUAGGAGACAGAACCCCUGCUAAAGCUACUAUACUCUUAUGGAUGCCCUACCUUUUAAGAACUAGUUCGUACGUGAGGAGAUCCUAAUGCCGAGCACGACCUGUCACGUCCUACCAGUGCGCUCCUACCGUCCGUCCAAACCAGUGACCAUCAAAAGUGAGCCUUAGUCCAAGCACCACGCUUACACUAACUCUCACAACUCUAACUACCACACAAAUAGCUAAAGCUCCUAUUCAAGAUAGGACGAUGAUACACACACAAGGUGUUGGUAGAGGAAACCACUCCAACUAAGACAACUACACUACUAAGACAAGUACAUAACAAGACUAUAGUAACUAUAAACUUGCACUAAGUAAAUACUUAAAGUAAAUACUAAGUAAAUGAAGAAUAAUAUAUUGAUACCUCGAGCUUCUCUCGACUCAACUCUAACUCCCACUCUAGACUAACUACUACUACACUACUUGAUCCUUGUAGGAUUGAGAGACUUAAUGCUUGGGUCUCUUCUAGGGAUGCCACUCAAGGGUGGAGGCAGCCUCUAUUUAUAGAGGAGGGAGAGGGGGUGCCACGUCAGUAAUCCGUGUGCUCCAUGCCUCUCCUCCCUUGGAUGAACCGACCUUGCAAUUGCCAUAGAUGGACGGUCAAGGGAAUUUGGACAUGUGGAAGUUAUGCUUGAGUCGGUGAGGAGCCAACCGACCUGGCUGGGCACUAGGAUGGGAUUGCCCGACCCCUCUAUGGCAGGUGGGCCUAGCUAGGGUCUUCUAGAAGGUGACCCCAAUUGUCAUAUGAAGUGGCUCCACCAUUUGUCAAAUAUUUGUCAUGUUGCUUGCUUACUUGUGGAUCCAUGGAUCCAUGUGAAACAAUCUUUCACCAUUAGAAGUUGAUCUGAGGGUGGAAAUUGUAACACCCGCCCCAGGGCUUAAUAGGAUUAAUAUGAUACUUAUACCAAUAAGUUGCAACUUAUUUUUCAGAAGCCCAUCUCCUAAGAACUCUAAAGUUAAGCGUGCUUGGCCUAGAGAAAUUCAGGGAUGGGUGACUGACUGGGUACUUCUCGGGUGAACAUGGGUGAGGACAAAAUAUGCAGAAAAGACACGUGUUGGUUUGUGAGGGAUGACUAUAUCCUAGAAAAGCUACCAGAUGUAAGCGGGCCUAGCCUUGUGGAGGCAGGAUGAUAUAGAAAUGGAAUCUAUGGGUCUUCACAUGGAUUGUACUUUGAAGCUCAGCCCUUGGUGGACCAAUGUUGGGGUUGCCCGACCCCCUCAUUAGGUCCUACCAAGGUGCAUUGCGUUGUUUCCUGAAAUCAAAGGCUAAGAGUACAAGUGGAACCAGUUAUGGAUAAAAUAUGUUUAUGUUAUGCUAUUCUUCCUUGAGACUGAGGCAUGUUGACGGUGUUUUGAGUGUAGAUUUUUAGGGUAUAUCCACCGUCAACAAGAUCCCCCAAGCUUAACCUUUGCUCGUCUUGAGCAAACAAUCAAACUUAGCAUCGGUGGAUCAGGUAAAGUUACUAGGACUACAUUUUAGUAGUACCAUGUCCACAACAAAGUUCUUCUCUUUAAAUAGAAACAUUAGCUUAAAAACUCACCCAUAUUACCUUAUUCCUCUAUGGGGCUUAUGGCUUUUACUUUGUCUUAGGUGGUUGAAAGAUAGAACAGUUUGACGUGAGCACUCAUUUUCUUAUUCUUAGCAAGUUUCACACUGGAGGUUUUGCAAUAUAAUUUUUUUCAAAAAGAAAAGUUAAUGUUCCUCAUAUGGUUCUCUCAAGUCACUCGAAUGGUGUAUGAUUCCUAACUAAGGCAUAUAAUAAGAGUUGCCUUCCUUAGCUCUUCCUACUUCUAAAAAGCUUAUAUGGAGCUCAAGGUAGGGAUAAGGAGAGAUAGCGUACUUACAUUGCAAUUAUUGCAAAGUCAAAGCUUGGACCCAUGAAGAGAAGUGUCAUACCUCUAGAUCAAGAUGUGAAGUUUGUGGCAUAUAGUGGACUAGGUUGCUCCUUUAUUUGAUAAGAUAUCUCUCUCUAUUUUUUUCUUUUAUUGAGACAGGGCUAGUUUUCUUUCUCUCUUUUUUUCUUAUAUAUAUAUUGCAUAGCCCUUUUUCUUGUGUCUCAUCUACCACACCAUAUUUGGAGAUAUAUUCUAAUACUUAAAGCAUGGAGCAACUUAUUUGGUGGAAAUGGAGGGCAUAUUUUUGCGUACUUCCGGUGUAGAAGUACCAUAUAUAUGUGUGGUGUGUACGUGAUCUUGAUCUUUGGGGCAUGAUAAUUCUCUAAACAACGGUCAACAAGACUUGACAACACUCAACACAAAGCAAAUAGCUUAUGUGGAAGGUUUAUAAACAUGUAGAGCAUAUAUGGCCGUGGUAGGAAUUUAUCACUAUUGAGGAACAAUUAAAGUUUUAAUCAUUUUAAGAAUAAUUCUCUGGUAUUCCAACAUGCUUAGAGCAAUACUAUAGCCACAACCCACAAAGUUUUCGGGUUUAUGAUGGUUUAAGUGAGCUAAGUAAUCCAUACUUAGAGAAAUGCUAAGUUCUAAACUUGGUACUAAGGAAACAUUGGCAAAGUAACUAGUCAUCAUUUCCAUGGGGAAGAUAAACAUACAUGAAGCAUAUGUGUUAAGCGAGAUAAGCAAAUAUUUUUUUUGAUAUUUUCAUUUUUCUCUUUUUUUAUUGCAAUAAGAUGAUUAACUAGAAUGCAAAAUGCUAAGAUAGAAUACUUACCUUAGUGGGGGAGAGGAUCACCCCAAGCUUGGCUUUUGCUCACUAUGGUGGCGGAUAAUGUUGGAACCAUCCGCCCCAUGUAAUACCCGAUUUUAAGGACAAAACUAGAUAUGCACCAUAUGUGAGUCAUAGAAGUCAAAUCUCACAUAUAGCUACAAAUAAGGGGUAAUAUCAAAAGACAAUGCAUAAAUAUAUAACGUACUUAGUAUAAAAGAGAUAACCUUUAUUAGCAAACAGCGGAUAGAUAACUCCAACUUCGGGUAUUAACUCCACUCUACAGGAUCUAACUGACUGGUUGAUCAGAAGCCUAAACUCCUCCUGAGGUUUGGGGGAAAUAACAAGAGUGAGUCGAUGUCGAACUCCACAAGUAUAGCAACUAGAUUGUAUAGCUCCCACAAUCUCAUGAUCAAUGUGACAUAAAUAAUGUAAAGCAUUAAACAAUAAAUAAUGAGUAUUUUAACACAACAAGAAUCAUCACCCUUAAUGCAAGAAUCCCCAAGGCCGCUCGUGACCGUGAGCAUGGCUAGUAUACCAGUUUUUAACACUCUGCAGAGGUUGUACAUCUUUACCCAUUAGUCAUGAUUUACCCUUUCGCCCGAGGUGAUCAGCCUCUUAACCCACUACUAAGGAAGGUUGGUAGGGAUCACUAUGAAGUCUUUCAAAGGUUCGUCUAACAAGUUAGGGUCGCUUGGUUUCAUUAGUCAGUCCGUGUGAUCUACCCGCAGAAAUCCACGGUCUGCUAUUCUCCAAUUGCGCCACAUGGGUAACCGCUAACGAGCUAGAAAAAUUACUCAUACUUAGCUAAAGCCAUAGCCCUCAUGGUUGCACUUAUCAUUUACAGAUAAAUCAUCAAGUUGCUAAAAAGUCAUUUUUAUCAUUUAUUACUUAAUAUUAAUCCAGUCACAGGAUCAUGGUCACAGAAAUAAAAUCUAAAUGCUAUACUUGCCUUAAUCCAAUUAAUCUUGCUUAUCCUUUUGGUUCUGCUGGUCUUAAUUGUUGCCAAAGCUUUGAUCUUGAUCAUCAAAAACUGCUCUCCGUCUAAACUGGAUCAUCGAUCACACAAACAAUCGGAGAAAGCAUACACGAGCAAACAAAGCUACAAUUAGAACAGUACACCAAUCAUAUAAAAACAGUAUGAAAAGUUUAUAAAAUGAUUCUACGCAUCGCUACGAACUCACAGACGUAAAGAUCACGAAAAUCGGAGUUAAGAUAGUAAAACUAAGUUGUAGUUGAUUAAAGGAAAUUCCAGAUGAUAGAUAGAAUGGACUAUAUAGACAAAACGUGAAGGAUAGAUGUGCUGACCGUAGUAGAAUUCACAAAAUUGCUCCACACAUAGCAGCAGUCUGCUCCUUCAGUCCUCGAUUCGCAUGCCUACCAAAGGAAAAUUUCACCACGGCGGCAGCAGCAGCAGCAGGUUCUGCUUUGAUCUACGCGUGCAGCGACAAUUCCAAUUCACCAGCACUCAGACUUUGGCACCGGAAGAUUGAUUUCCUGACACCAGCAACUGGCGCCUAGGAAGAGACUUGUCGGCUUGACGCACGGCAGCAGGCUACGUAGCGACACCAGCCCGCCGCUGCAUGGAUCAGAUGGGAAACGUCUGCACUUGGAUGACAACUGGCCUUGUUUAGUUCCCAACAGAUUUCGGAUUUCGGUAUUGUAGCACUUUCGUUUGUUUGUGACAAAUAUUAUCUAAUUAUAGACUAACUAGGAUCAAAAGAUUCGUCUCGUAAUUUACAGGUAAACUGUGUAAUUAGUUUUUAUUUUCGUUUAUAUUUAAUGUUUCAUGCAUGUGACGAAAGAUUCGAUGUGACGGGGAAUCUUGAAAACUUGGUUUUCGGGGUGAACUAAACAAGGCCCAGAAAGCGAUUCUGUCUUCAACUCUGCGCUCUGCCUUAGACUCGAUUGAGUUGAGAGUCGCGGAUUGGACAUCACGGAUCAAAUCGCCAAGGUCAGAAAAUUGACCUCGGCGGCAGCGCAAUGAAGAGAGAUAAAACCCUAGAUUUUCUUUUUUGUCUAGCUUUUUAGUAUUUAUAAGAAUUAUUUCUAUGCACGUCGGCCAUUAAAAAGAGUUAUUUUAUUAUUUUCACAAUUAAGUAAUUUUAUAGAUAAAAUAAUUUUAGAAAAGUCCAGAAUUAUUAUUUAAUCGACAAAAAAUACUCCGAAAACUCCAAAAAUUCGGGGAAAUCUCUUGGACAAAUAAAGUAUUCGGAGCUUAUGAUAAGAUAAUUUGGAGCAUCUAAAAUUAGAUUAUGCUCACGGAAAAGACCGGAAAAAUUUCUGAGAAGUUUGUAGAGAUUGCUUGAUGGACGAGAAACUAAAAGGAGUAACUUAGGUUUGAAAGAAAAUAUUGUAACUGAACAAAAUCUUGACCUAAGAGACAAGGAAUUUGAUUGUAGACAAAGAUAAAUCUGUGCCGAAGAAGGAAGAUCGACCUACUAACGUAUUUUAAAUACUUUUCUUGCUAUCAACACACAAAGGAGCAAUAAGCAGACAUCACCCGAAAUCAUAUACCCCAGCAUGUAUGCACAACCAUGUUGCUGGGCCUUAUGUUAAAUUUUAAUCUAAUAAAAAAUAUUAUUUUUCCUAUAUUUUCAUGAACACAAAAAUACAAAAUUAAAUCAAUUUACAUCUAUUUCGAAACGAGCAAAUUUUAGGGUGUUACACCCCAAUGUUGUGCUUCCUCAGCUUCUAUUGCUUGCAGAAGUUGGGCAUUUUGUUGUGCCAGUUGCAGCGUUGCUUCUUGUUCAAUAUGCAUUGCGCCCAUGUUGUCGAUGAGGUCAUCCAUCUCUAUCCUUUGAUGGCGCCUUUCCCUACUCCAUGGGUGAGGAGUGUGUUGUGGACAUGGAGGCCUCUCCAUGGACCCUGAUAUCUCCAUAGAGCUCGCCUCAUCGCCUUCUUCAACUUCUUCUCCUGCAGGAUUUGAGGGACCACCUUGCUCCAUUUGCAUGGCUCAUGACAUUCCUCUUGUCACUUUGCAUGGUCUUGCAAUAUUUUGGUUGCGUGCUUCUUUGUCCAAUUUAAUGGUUAGCGUGUAGAGUGCAUACAACCGAUGUUUCUCACAAGGGAGAGGAACUGGAUAAACCAUUUUAAGUCCACCCCUUGGACCUCUUUUGAGCACAUUUAUAUUAAAGAAGACAUCCUAAUUUAAAACAUCUCUAGUAGAGGUGAUGUACUCAAAGGUAUGUGGCUCUAGUGCACCCAUUGAUUCACCUAUACGAGUAAUGAGUGAUGUGAAAUAGAUGGGUUUUCCAUACUCAAUGGAGUAAAGCCAAUAGUUCACUAGCAGUUUGAUAGGGGAGACUUUAAUUUUGCAUACCAUUGCAUAGAGGAGUUUAAGUUCUUCAUCACUUAAGGUGUUACCUCUAGUUCUAGGAAAAGCGUAAUGAAGAAAACACAGGGUCGGGUUAUGGAUUUGGUAGGGUGUAGGAUUAGAGCAAUCAUUGGAACCAGAAAUUGCCUUCCAAAAGUCAUUUUUGCUAAAACCAUUAGUGGCAUGGUCUAGAUCAAGUUCGCAAUCAUGUUCACUGUUGAUGGUAGUUAAGUCCUAUUUUUAACUGUCAACAUAACUUUUAUAAUUACAAAGAAAUGCUCACCAACAUAGGUUUAGAGGUUUGAACUAACAAAUUCUACGAGUUUUGGUGCAUCUAUGUCUUGCAGAGGUCACAUAGGAAAAGAGCUAAAGGCAAACUAAUCAUUGAAUAAAAGUAUCUCAAUUUAUGAAUUAGACUGCACCAUUGCAACGGGCUCGUCGAGACAAUCGAAAUUCAUAUAUCAUUUGCCCUAUUUUGAGUCUCGAAUGAAGGAAUAUGAAUUUCACAUGAAAAUACACUUUUCUGGAGUCUAGAAGGUUCAAGAAGACACCAGAACAAACGGGACGACAAACGGCCACAAGGGAUGGGCGCCGGCCCCACCCCUUGGGCAGCCGCCCGGCUACCACAGCCAAUCAGCUUCAACCUCGCGGAUUCCCGAUCCAUUGCCUUUGAGGAAUAAUCUUGAGCAUACAUUUAAGUCGAUUUGAUCUGAGGGCUAUGGUGCUUCCAACGGGGCUAUAAAUACAAGCUUGACCCCCCUUGCGAAGAAGAAUCAUUAUGAGUUGUAGAGGCAUCCCUCGAAUGCAUGGCCUCUCUUCUCUAUGAGUUUUAGAGGUGUCCCUUCAAUGGAUGAUCUCUCUUCUUAAGAGAAUUAGGGCUAGACAUUCCAAUAUAGUAGAUUAGUUCUAGUCGGGAGUUAGGGAGAGCAUAGCUAUGCUCAGAUUCCGGAGGAGUAUUUUUCAGAGUUUUGGUAUGUCUUCAUAUCUCUUCUUUGUAAGACUUAUGCUUUAAUAUAUUAUCUUCUCUAUUUACUUUAUGCCUAUUUAUGACUAGUGUAGUUGUUAUGGCUUGGCAUGGGAUCUUUGCUGAUACUGAGUGCUCUAGUUAUUCAUGGUAAUUAGAGUAGUAAACGCUACUGUAGACAUGGUGUCUAGGCUAUAGUUUACCUAAGGUUGUGCUUAAUCCUAUAGAUAGUUGUGGCAGCCCUAGGGGUGACAACCCUGUGAGGCCUUUGUAUUCCACCACGUUUGGAUUGAUGUUUCGUAGAGCUUUUGGCAGUCUUCCCCGACUACUUUCUUCCCAGUCUUAUUCGAGAGUUAGAAAGGACCUGCUGCUCCAAAAUGCCAUUGUGUGACUGCUAUAUCUUUUCAUAUUGUGUUACCUUAGAACUAAGUAAUAGAGAAGUACAAAGGAACUUGAUCUUUCCUAUUGUCCUCCCGCUAUGACUAUCUAUACAUUUAUCAUUGAAUUCUCUUAAAUGUGCUUAAUUGAUUUAUCCUAUAGUCUAUCAGAUAUCCCUGCUUUAGUUUAGUUGAUACUCUGAGUUAGUAGAUGUAGGAUAGUGAAUUAUCAGAUUAUUAACCCUAGCUUCCCUGUGGUAAAAUAUAAAUAACAAUACCUAGAAUACUCCUAGUAAAAUGCUACGAUGAUGUUCUGUGCGCUUGCGGAAUCUUUCUUAUUUCUUUUUGCACUAACAAACGUCAACAAGCAUUUUUGGCACUGUUGCUGGGGACUAGGAUUUUUAACUAUCUUUGGUGAUUGUGCUAAGAAAUGACAACAAGCAUUUUCGGCGCCAUUGUCGGGGAUUAGGCUUUUUGCCUAUCUUUGGUGAUUGUGUUAAGAAAUGCCAACACUCACAUCCUAGGGUAGUGUUCAAGAUUCUCUAAGUUAAAUUAUAUUCUUCCCCAAACAUGCGAAACGCUACCCCAUUGAUUGUUGGUUGUAAGGUACACAGAAAUUCUUGGGUGAUCACUUUUAUGCCAAGUUCAGGAACCAUCCAAAAUCCUCCCCAACCAAUUGCAUUAAAAACAACAUUAAAUUCUGCACUCAUACCUAUGAGGUCCAUGAGAACCGGAUCGAUGAUGCUUGUGCACUGGAAACUGCUUGCUCGUAGGGUGUUGUAUUUCUGCAGCCCUUUUUGGUUUAGCAUAAGGCCACUCUUGAGCUCCCUUACUCUUGAUGGAGGCUCAUAGAGUACCACUUGGUGGUAGCUCUCUUCCUCAUCCGUCCUCCAUGUGUUCCUUUGGUGUGGUGAGAGUCUUGAGAAGAGCUCUCACCCUUCUUGGACUUCUUGAACUAGGAGGUGAGUAACUUCUUUAUCUAGCUGUGCAAGAGAGAAAGGGAAAAUCUUUUUGGGUUUUUAUUUUGGGAUUCUACUACUAGGCUAAACUUGAGAGAGAACUUGCAACAAGAGAGAAGAGAAGAGUGCUUUGAGCUCGAGAUGAUUCUGAAUGGUUUGGGUGUGUAGUUACACUCACAAUGCAUGGGUAUUUAUAGUGGGAGAAGGGCAAGUGGUAGACCCCCUAUGUAGGGAUCAGCUGACACCCCUUCUAGCACUUUGAUUCAAAGUUUCUUUGGCCAGGGAAUCUUACAUCAAAAUAUGAAAUCACUUUUCAGAGAUGGUCCAAAGUGGGGGUCGGCCGACCCCCACCCUAAGCCCUCUUUUGCUUUAAGCAUUGUGUCAUGAGUUGUCUAGUAAAGUAUGGGCUAUGUGUGGACCAAAAGAUUCCCUUGUCUAGUGCUUAGUGAAUGAGAAAAGAAGAUAGGCUAAAGUGGAGACAUGUCUUAAUAGAUUCCCAUGGACCAUGGGGAUUCUAAAGCAUACCUAUGUGACCACUUUAUAGGAUUUGAGCAUGGUGGCAUGGUCCAAACACUUUAAAGAUGAAAGGAGCAUCUUAUGUUUUAAGUGAUAAAGCAAAGGACCAUUUCUUUUCAGACCUUGGUUAUAGUGGCAUGCAUAAGAUUCAUGUGUUAAGCAUCUGGGAGAUAGCAGAGUGCAGUUGGACCCAAUAUGGGGGUCGGCUGACCCCUAGUUUGGUGCUCCACUUGCACCCAAGUGCUGGCAACUAUGGUAUGUACUAAGCCAAGGUGAAAAAAGGUUAGUGGGCACAAUUGUGGGGUCGGGCGACCCCACCUUUGGUGGUCCACCUGCUCAAAACUUCAAUGCAAAUUGUUCUCAAGUUUUUAUUUAUUAUAGUUAAGUACCUUGUCAAAAUAAAAUAUGUAAGGCUAUAACUAAGAAUGCAAUGCAAUGCAAGAAUGGAAAUGCAAAAAGCAAAUAUGAGAUAACUACUGAUUCACCUUACUAGCAAGGGCUCCAUGUUUUAGGUCCGUAGAGCAGGACCUCUCCAUCUUGUUCAUUCUUCGGGUGCCUCGGAUGGUCCUAGAGAUGGGAACUGUGAUUGCACCUCUCUCUCCCACCAUACUUGUUUGUUCUUGGCUUGCGAUUCAGCGGGUUUUUCCUUCUUUAUUUCUACCUUGUUGGCCGACUCACUUCUCUUAUUCCUUCUGCGUGGGUAAUAGCGAGGUUUGUUUCUCGGUUCCUUAUCCUUCAGCUGCAUGUUAGUUUUUGUAACACUUUGGUGUUAAGCAUGUAUUAGAGCUUCAUAAGCAUACAUGAGCAUCUUCAUAAGCAUGAGCAUUUCAUUUCAUGUGCAUCAUACAUGAUGUGAUUUUAUGUGCAUAACCAAAUAUGAAUUUAAUGAUGAUAAUUACCAUGCUAUGCUUAUAAAUGCUUGCAAUGCCUAGAUUAAGUUGUUUUGUGCUUGAACCAAAUUAAGAAAUAUUGAGUAAUAUUUUGGAGCACUAGAUUUGAGGGAUUUGAAUUUAUCUCAAAUUUCCCUAAAAUGGAUUUAUUUAAACAUAGAACUAACUUUAAUUUGUAAUUCAAAAUCCAUUUGGAUUCUUGGGUUGCACCUUAAAACAAAGUUGUAGAGAAUUUUAUUUUGACCAACUUUUAUUUUUGGGGCAACUUUUGAAAAUGAUUUUUAAUUGCUCAAAAAUGUGUUUGAUAUCAAAUGGGGAAAACAAAUUUAAAAAAAGAGAAAAGGGGAGGGCACCCUGGUGGGCCACACACCUCGCUUCCCUACAACGGCUGAAGCCAGCCCAGCCUGCUUCCCUUCCCCCCUCCCGCUUGUGCGCGUGCAUCGAUGACUGGCGUCGCCGUGGCCUGACGCCGGCAGGCUGUGUCCACUGUGUGGUGGCCAUGCGACGCAACGGUAGCGCCUGGUCGGCCAUAAACCAUGCUGCCACACUCGCCUCAUCCUGCUCUCCCAUUUCCGCUCUCCCUCGCCCUCUCUAGCGUGCUACAGCACCCGUAGCACUCAAACGCCAAUGCCGCCAUGGCGCCAUUAUUGUGACCUUUUGCCGCUCGGCGCUGGGUGCCUCAUCCACCCAAGCUUGAGGCCGAGCCCUCUGCGAGAUCCGCCUCAUCUCCCUCUACCUCGUGCUCAUGUUCAACCGUGUGGGUAACGACCCUAGCACCGGCAAGACGUGACCGAAGUUCGGACAGAGCUCCAGUGAGGUCCCCGCUGUGAUGCUAGCUCGCUCCCUACCCCUUUUUGCCUUCGUUUCGUGCACAUUAGAUCUGCCUGGCCGCGAGGGAGCAACAGCAGCCCUCGAUGCUCGGCUGGAUGGCCGGAGCUGGCAAGACCAUGACGGGCAGCGCCGCCAUGUCCGCUAUGCUCGACGGCGAGCCUUGAGUAGAGCUCGCUAGGCCUCAAACCAUCACAUUUGCCUCGACGAGAGGAAGCGAUUGUUGGCCUUAGCGACUCACCAUCGGCGAGAUCCCCUUGUCGGGAUCCUUCCCCUCGACGGGGAAGAUGACAGGUGGGGCCACAGGCCCACUGUCAGCCACCGGAGUGCAUUCCUGGGUGCAGAUCCAGGUGUUCUUAGCAUUUUCCAGCACGAGAUUUGAAAAAGAAUUUUAGAAAUGUUUUUAAUCCUUUAAAAAUUCAUAACUCGAGCUGUAGGGCUCCAAAAAUGAUGAAACAAAUUUUGUUAUGUCGUAUAAAUGCAGAUCUACAGUUUGAUGUAUUUGAAUAGCAUGUUGGAAUAUCUUUUUUGAGUAAAUUUAUUUAAUAUAUGGAAAUGCUCUUUUGUUAGAAAAUAUGUAGAAAAUAGAAUAUGACUCAGAAAAAAAUGGUUCUUAUUUUUGUAGGUUUGUAUAAUUGUAUAGCCUCUAUGAAAAAUGGGAGAAUGAAUAUUUGCUGUAUAAAAUGUUUAUUGCUUAAUUAAAUACUUGCAUGUCAAUGGUUUAUGAUUUUUAAUAAAUAAUUUCUACAUGCAAUUAAUUUGGAAAUUUUUGUAGAGCUCUCUUAUGUUACUUAGUAAUUAAGAAAAUAUGAAAUCUUUUGUUUGACACUUUUGUAUGUGUAGAGUAUUUUCCAUCAAUUAUGUCUAGGGUAUUGUGAGUUUUUUUGGGCCAUGUUACUUGCCCUAAUGUAGUGAAAAUUUUAUGGUAGGCUUUACAUGUGCUCUCUGUAGUUUUUGUAGAAUUUAUUGAGUGACAAAAAUAUAUGUUGCCAUUGUAGGUCUAGUAGUUAAUAAAGUAAUAAAUAAUUGUUAUGUAUGAAUAUAAAUAUGAUUAAGUAGUUUGGUGUAUCUUUGAAGCACCUCGUUGCUUGCUUGUUUAUCUUAGUAAUAUGUAGAACAGAAUGCAAUAGAUGUUUUACACUUAGGGUAUAUGUUCUUGGAUGAUGUUGACUAGCUAGUAGAAGUAGUAUCGAAAUUUGUAGUGUCAUAGCUCUUCCUACCAGAGAGGAGAUAUGCACCUAGUCAGUAAAUAGCAUAUCAUGAUCAUCUAGCAAUCAUAUACAUGAUCAUGCACCACAAGCAUCCUGCACCUCCACUCACUUAAGCAUACGCAUAAUAUAGGCUCAUAGGAGAACGAGGCAGUGACCAAGCCCGAGGAGCAGGGGGAGACCCAAGUGUAGGAGGUUUCCGAAGGGAACGAGCAGGAAGUGGAGCUACAAGAGUGUUUAGAUCAUCGACCUAGUUCCUUUGAGAAAGGCAAGCCCCAGAGCAUUCUAAGUCUCCUAAUUUCCACUAAUUUUUAUAUAUAUAUACAAUGAUGGUUAUACUGUUGCAUUAAGUUAUAGGAGUUGCUUGAUACCGUUGAUGCAUUACUAUUCCUUGAAUUACCACCUGUUUACUUACCUUGUCCUAUGUAGUAUAGGCUCGGACUCAAAGCUUAGCUUGCUUAGCACGGUAGAAGUCGAGUUAUUCCUUGUCACCUGUGAGAUAUAGGUGGAUACCAAAAGGUUAGCUGUAUAUUGCCCUUGCCCCACCUAGGUUCAAUACCCGAUUUUAAGGACAAAACCAGAUACGCACCCUAUGUGAGUUUUAGAAGUCAAAUCUCACAUAUAGCUACAAAUGAGGGGUAAUAUCAAAAGACAAUGCAUAAAUAUAUAAUGUACUUAGUAUAAAAGAGAUAACCUUUGAUAGCAAACAACGGAUAGACAACUCCAAACUCUGAGUAUUAACUUCUCUCUACAGGAUCCAACUGACUGGUUGAUCACAAGCCUAAACUAUCUCCUGAGGUUUGGGGGAAAUAGCAAGAGUGAGUCCAUGUCGAACUCCACAAGUAUAGCAAUUAGAUUGUAUAGCUCCCACAAUCUCAUGAUCAAUGUGACAUAAAUAAUGUAGAGCAUUAAAUAAUAAAUAAUGGGCAUAUUUAACACACAAGAAUCAUCAUCUUCGAUGCAAGAAUCCCCAAGGCCGCUCUUGACCGUGAGCACGGCUAGUAUACCAGUUUUUAACACUCUGUAGAGGUUGCACAUCUUUACCCAUGAGUCAUGAUUUACCCUUUCGCCCGAGGUGAUCAGCCUCUUAACCCACUUUCAAGGAAGGUCGGCAGGGAUCACUAUGAAGCCUUUCAAAAGUUCGUCUAACAUGUUAGGGCCGCAAGGUUUCCUUUGCGCGCAGAUAUAGAUACUCCCCUUCCAAAUGGCACAAUAACACGUAGCCUAUACACAUAAGGACAGGGGCUCGCACUAUACCCAAAACGGUUCAGCCCCUCCGCCCUUUCGGGUAACCUCUAACAAGCUAGAAAAGGUCUUCAUACUGAGCUAAAGCCAGAGCCAUUAUAGCCCUCAUGGUUGCACUGUUGUCCCGGUUAUCACUUACAGAUAAAUCAUCAAGUGGCUAAAAAGUCAUUUUUAUCAUUUAUUACUUAACAUUAAUUUAGUCACAGGAUCAUGGUCACAGAAAUAAAAUCUAAAUGCUAUACUUGUCUUGAUCCAAUUGCUCAUACUUUCUCAAACAUCAGCAUAUAUGGUCAACACCUUCUGAUCUCCAGCGCUUGCAGACAGUCUUUCUUCUACUUGUAGAUCGUAGCACACUACUCUCUAUAGGCAAGCAAGACGACGGCGCUUACUUGCUGGCUCAUGUAGCAAAGCUCACCAAGUCACUACACCCACGGCAACAUGCUUUGACUCCUUCCUUGAUUCACGUGCUCAGCAACAGCUAACAACAGGAAACAACGAGAGAGGCCUCCAAUGAUCAGACAACACGGCAGUGUCUCUGUCAGGGAACAGGGCAGCAGGAGAGAUUUGAUCUGGCGAAUUCUCCGUCUCCGAUCUGAAGUUGACGACAACGCAACCAUGCAGCACCGUCGUCCAACUACACCUUGGAUUCAAACGUGAGAAACACUGAUUCACCGAUAACAUGGACGUCACGUAAAGAAGUCGCCGAGUAUAGAUUGAUCUGGACGGCGGCGGCGUGAUGACCAGGGACGGUUUGGGACUGGGUUUACAGAUUCAUGACAUAUACUUAUAUGCAUUGUGGCCGACUUAGAUUAGGUUUAGGAUUAAUUAUUUUCGAAAUAAAUUAACUUCAGAAUUAAAAUAAUUUUAGAAAAUCCAGAAUUACUUUUUAAGCCGCGAAAAAAAACUCCAAGAGCUCCGAAAAUUCGAGGAAAGUUAUCAGAAAUAUUAUGGAACGUGAGGAACCCAAAUAAAGUAUUUGGAGCUCAUGAUAAGAUAAUUUGGACGAUCUCAAAAUUAGAUCAUGCUCACGGAGAAGGCCGAAAAAAGAAAUUCCCGAGAACUUUUAUAGAGAUCUCCUGAUGGACGAGAAACUGAAAGGAGUGACUUAGGUUUGAAAGAAGAGAUACUGAGAGACUCUGAAUGAAAUCUUGAGCUGAGAGACAAGGAAUUUAAUUGUAGAAAAAGAUAAAGACGUACCAGUCAAGGAAGAUCGAUCUAUUAAACGCAUUUUUUUUAAAAAAUAACAUUGCUCACUCAACACAUAAAGGAGCAACAAGCAAACAUUACAUCAAAUCAAAUGCACCAGCAUGUAUGUACAACAAUGUUGCUAAACCUUAUAAUAAAUUUUAAUUUAUUAAAAAUAUUAUUUUUUUCUAUAUUUUUAUGAUCACAAAGAUAUAAAAUUACUUAAAUUCUCCUAUUUUAAAUACUUGAAAAUUUUAGGGUGUUACACUAGGCGCCCACCCCUGCCUUAUGGUAGGUGGGCCCCACCUUUGGGGUGCUAUCUUCUCGAGUCUUCUAGAGUAUUCUUGAGUUGUAGUUCAUGAAUUCUCUCUAUGUAAAUCUGACAUGUGGGCCUGUUUUGGCUAUUUUCUCAUAACCCCCUAUAGAAACAGACAUUCACCAAAACUCGUGGAAAUUAUCAGUGAAAACCAUAAGUCUAUGGUGAUGUUUAGUUUUUAUCCCCUUUCUUCUCCUUGGUUGACAUAUAAUUUUGAUGGUUAACAGUUGUCAAUAGGGACCCUGGUCAGUGUUGAGGCAGUGGUUCCAACUAGUGGUAGUGAUCCCAACUAGGUCGGCUUUUGAGUCCAGUGGUAGUACUCCUUUUGAGUGUGCUAGCAGGGCUACCUUCGUAGUGCUCACAGACCUAAUGGAGAGGUAUCUAUAGGAACUAGUUCAUGCCUUCGCUAGGGUGUUUCCCAGGGGUGACCCCUACACCUUGGUGUUUUAUCAGUCUGAGGGGAGUGCCUUAGAGAGAAGUGUGGAUGAGGAUUAGUGCAGUGAUAGUGUAGCUAUGAGCGCUAUGUUCACCAUGAUAAAGUCCUAUGGUGGUUGUUGACUCUUCUUAGCGUCACUACCUAGGAAUGUUAGUCCUUAGAACAACACUAGAAAUGCUUGUGUGACACUAGAAGUGGCAAAUGGUUUUACCGCAAGCAGACGAUGGUCAAUGUAGCACUUCACCAGGAGUAUUCCAGGUAUCGUAUUUUCCACAGGGAACGAGAAGUGGAUUAACUAGACCAAUUGAGUCAUCGGAUGAUGAUCAAAGGGCUUAGGAUUGGGUGGAGAGGUAUUUCUAGUAUUUGGCUUCUGGCUAAGCUAUCCCAAGUAUACUUGAGAGUUAACUCCCUUCCUACUAUGGCCGAUAGGUGAAAAAGGUGUGGCGAAAUACUUCCCUAGGCACCUACCAUGCAGGCCAACUAUUAUUUGCAUCUUUCCUAACAACACAUUGAAGAGAACUCCUAAUGUACAGCAGAGGCCUGUCACGCUUUGCUGCUAGUGUUCUUCAGGUGCGACAAGAAGUCCACAAGGGCAGACUUAGUCUAGACUCCAUGUCUACACUAAUUCUACUACUCUAGACCCAGCUAAGGUUUCGAGCACUUCACACAAGGCAAAGCAAUGUGCCAGUAGGCCGGUUGUAUACUUAAAAUAAACUAAGACAGAAAGUAAAUACUGGAAGUACUCAGAUGAAAGGCAAAGACUUACUAGAAGACAAGCAUCCGUUGUGGCACUCCUGGACGAAGACUCCCGACAAGCCGGGACUCCUCCUCGGGGAACUCCUCACUCUCUUCCCUCUAUUCUCACACUUAGCUAAGAGUAGCUCUUCCUAAGAUACAUCAUGCUUAACUAGGCUCUCUAAGGGUGUAUUUAUAGGGGGAGAUGGAGUAGGGGCUACUCCAGCGCCACAUCAGCGAUCCGCGUGCUCCCUCUUCUCCACCGUUGGAUCAAACCGACCUUGGAACCGCCAUAUGAUCAACGGUUGGGAAUUUCCAUCACAUGUUCAUCAUGGGGAUGUCGGUGGGAGUGAACUGACUUAAGGUGGGCCCACAUUAUAGGUCGGUCGACCGACCUAUUGCUUCCAUGUUGGUCCCACCAACCUUCUAGAAGGUGCUGAGGUCGGUGGGAGUGUGGGCCAGGUGGGGGCCCACCAAAUGUGGGUCGGCCAACCUGCCCAUAGGGGGGUUGGCCCACCACCUUUCUCCACAUGUUGUCCCCACUUGUCAUCUUCAUUGUUUUGUUGAUAUGUGGUGGUUUUGGAUCUUGAUCAUCUUUGCUUCAUUUGACCUUGACCGGGCUUGAUUAGUGGUUGUUUGCACCUGCAUCCAAAUAAUGACAUGUACAUGUGGAACCAAGUGAAUUGUGCCUAUGUCACUACUUAGUUGCUUGGUGUUAUCCCCAAAACUUAACCAUUAUUGACGAUUUUAGUGGUAAAAAAUCAUAGUGAAAAUACCGUCAACAAGAUCCCCCACAUUUGAGUCUUUACUCGUCCUCGAGUAAAGGUUAGAGAUAAGUUAAAGAUCAUGGUGCAUAUUGUUGUAUUCAGGACAUAGCUCAUGCAAAUGGGUUAUGUGGUAAGUGUCUAGCAGAUUUCUUUGAGAAGUUGAUAAGAGGAACAGUCCUAAGACAAAAUCAGCUCCCAAACUUCUAUUCUUGGUACUUAGAGUUUUCAUGAUAGUUCAAAAGAAAGCACAUAGUUUAUUCGGACUCCUCAUUUAUCACUCUCUCAAAUCCCUUAUUUUGUAAAGCAAUCUUGCCAAGGCAUAACUAUCAGCCCUUCUUGCUACAUCCUACAUCUAUCAGGCUUAUGUGGAGCUUGGUAGGGAAAAACAAGGUAGCAUAUCAUGCAUUGUAUUUAUUGUAAAGUCAAAGCAAGGAUCUAAGGAGAGGAGUGUCAUAGUCUAAGAUCAAGAUGUGCAAGUGUGUGUGAUAUGAGAAUGAUGACUAGAUAGCUCCUUUAUUAACUUUACUCUCUCUCUCUAUUUCUUUGUUUCUAUGAGACAAGGCUAGCAUUUUUUAGCCUCUGCUUUUGUGUCUCAUUUAUAUUUAACUCUUAGAGAGAGAUUCUACACUAUUGAGCAUAUGGAGCAUCUAUAUUUUGUGGGAUGGAAUGGGAUGUUGCGUGCUCCCAGUGUAGGAGUGGCAAGAAAUGUGGUGUGUGCGAUCUUGAUCUUAGGACUAUGACAAAAACUCUCACUAUGAUCUACAUGAUUUGACCAAACUCAAUACAUAUGCAAGUUGCACACAAGGGUUGUUUUAGACAUACAUGUUUUGGCUCUGGUAGGAAUUUCAUUGCUAAUGAGGAGUGAAUAAAACUAUGGUUUUAUGUUAUUCAAAAUAAAAUUCCAAGUACCUUGAACAUGAUUGGUGUGAUGAGCUUAGAACUAUGUCACUUUCAUCAACAACUUAGUCAAAAUGCAUUCCUAUAUGAUUUUUGUACCCAUAAGCAUAAACAUAUGCCAGAAUAAACUAUGUGUCACAUAUGGAUCUUUAAAUGCCAAGACUCAAGUUAGUCAUGUGAAUUAAAUUUCAUUUUAAACAUUUAGAGUAGAGGAGGAGAAAAGUAAGGACGAGAGGGAGUAAAGGAUGCAAACCAGACAGGAAGAUGCAGGUCAUCGUGUUGAUGCUGGCUGAUGGGCCCGGGGUCACCAGGUGGGGUCGACCGACCCUACCCUGGUGUGCCCAGGGUGGCCAUGUGUUGACGUCUAUUUUCCUGAUGAUGCAAAACCUUCGGUCGACCAACCGAACAUUUGGGUUGGUAUUUGGCGUGUCAACUCGAGUCUGUGCUCUUGACCAAAAGGCGUGCUUCGUUUCGUCUAGUGAUGACAUUGGGGGAUCGGCUGAUCCCCCACACUUGAGGUUUUCUGUGUUCUGAAUUUCAACAACACGAAGAGACGUCACGUGCACAUGUUGUGCUAGUGGCAACACACCAACAAAACUUAAAGUUUUAUUUUAUUCAAACUAAACUUUUUUUAUUCAAGAGUUCAAAUAUUGUAGGCACUUUUAUAUUUGAGAAAAGGGAAAAUCAAAAGGGAAAUAGAACUAAAGAAAUCAAAAUGGAAUAAUCCAAACUAAGUGCCUAAUAGUCUAAUUGAAGUAAACUAAGGAGAGGGGAGCUCUAGUAGAUCCUCUUUGUUGAUCGCCUUAGCGAUCCUCUUGAUCUUCGCAUUAUUGCUAACGCGAAGAUGGUUGAACUCAUCUUCCAAAUCCUGGUAGGCCUUCUUAAGCUCCAACACAGUCUCCAUGAGGGCCGUCUUCUUCUUACGCAGGACACCUGUGAUGUGGAGGAGCUUCUCCACGUCGCUCUUCUCCUGCUCCCCCUCAAAUUGGCUAGGAGGGCCCCUGAUGGGAGGUGGAGAUAGCCGACAACGAAUAGAGCUGCUGGUGGAGUCGUUGGACUCCCUCAGGGCCCUCCGCUCGUCGGUGUCCAGGGACGGGACGAGUUUCUUCCCCAUCCCGGGCCUCGCGCUCAUAAUCUUGCGAAACGGUGGUGAGGCCGAGGUGUAGGAAGGCGUGAACGUCGAGCUGCUCGUAGUGUUGGAGGAGACGGUGAUUGGGGCCUUGCUGGUGCCCACCGGAGACUUGCCCUUCAAUGCCAAUUGGCCUGUGGUAGGCCGCUUUGGCGUGGUGGCCCUUGUCGGAGAUUUCCCGAGCGUUCUCCUCGGGGUGAGGGAACGCGACGAGGAUCCCAACUUGGAGAAACGCUAGGGGUCCUCAAACGACCGCGCUCUGUGUCAGUCGACCCAAAGACAUGGUCGACCGACCGGGGGUUUGGCCCUGAUGGCCCUCCGGUGGGUGGCACCAUGGCCAGACGCUCUGCCUCGAUGACAUCCACUGCAAGGAGCUGCUCCAACUCCUUCGUGAGGAAGAGGGCAGGCAUCGCUGAGUCAGGGCGGCGAACGAUCUGGUUAUUUUUUUAUGGAGGGGCCAUGGCAAGGUAUUGGUGGUGAUGGUGAGUUGUUCAAGAGUGCAGAAUGGCUCUUGAUUCGAGGUGGAAGAAAAUGGGAGGAAGAAGAAGAAGAGGGGGGAGCUAUUUGUAGGCUUAGGAGGAUGCUCCUGGCUGUAAGAAUUCAAAAUCCACCUAGAGCGUCGGAGGGAUAAUCAGGAGAGAUGAGAGUGAUCCGGGACUGUUUGGAUACCACCAAAGUGGGAUCGGUUGACCGACGAAUUUCAAAAUUUUGAAAUUUGGAGUUCGUGGCGACCUUCCACACUCUGUUCUGAUCGGGACAAGGUGCCCAGUUGCACUUUGUGUCGGUCGGUCGACCCCCUCUUUGGGGCCUGGCUCGACCAGGGUUUGUGCCCAGCCUCCCUUAGUCUUGACAGGUGUGGUGUGCUAUGGAUUGACACUUACCUCGGUCGACCGACCCCCUUAGUAGGAGUUUGGCUCGACCAGGUUUGUCUCUCGGGCCACCCAAGAGUCUUAUGUUGUUGGGUGGCUUGACCCUAAAUGUGCUAAGUCUACAAUCUAUCUAGUGAUCAAGCAAACAAGAAGGAAAUAGAAUGACAUAUAGAUUUUAGUUGAUGGGGUUUAGAACAAAUUCUAUCAUGUCUACUUCUUUUUGUAAAGGUUCAUGUUCAUAAAAGAGCUUGAGGUGAUGACCAUUUACCUUAAAGACGUUGCCAUCGUUGUCCUCAAGCGUUACGGCUCCAUGUGUCGCGACAUCGAUCACCAAGUAUGGGCCCUCCCAUUUGCUUCUCAGCUUCCCAUGGCCAAAAAGUUUGAUCCUGUAAUUGAACAGAAGAACCUUGUUCCCAGGAUGGAACUCUUUUUGCUUGAUUCGCUUAUCAUGCCAUCUUUUGGUUCUUUCCUUGUAGAUUCUGGCAUUGUGAUAAGCUUUCUCUCUCCAUUCUUCCAGUUCUGAGAUUUGAAGCUUUCGAUUGAGGCCGACUGAGGGCAGGUCCAUAUUCCAUCUUUUUAUGGCCCAAUGUGCCCUAUGCUCGAGCUCAACUGGUAAGUGGCAUGUCUUUCCGUAUACAAGCUGGUAUGGUGACAUACCGAUAGGGGUCUUGUAUGCGGACCUAUAUGCCCAAAGUGCAUCAUGGAGUUUGUUCACCCAUCCUGUCCCCUUUUCCUUGACAGUCUUUUGCAGAAUGUUCUUGAUUUGUUUAUUUGAGGUUUCUACUUGUUUGCUCAUUUGGAGAUGGUAAGGUGCACCCACAUUGUGCCUUAUCCCCGCUUCAGUUAGGAAUUCACGGAAUCUCCUGUCAAUGAAGUGGCUGCCCCCAUCACUAAUAACCAACCUUGGGGUGCCAAAUCUUGGGAAGAUGAUCUCGUGGAACAUCUUUUUUGGCAUGUUUUGAGUCAGCUGCUCUGCAAGGCAGUGCUUCAACCCAUUUGGACACGUAGUCCACUAUGACCAAGAUGUACUCGUAGCCUUGACAUGGCGAGAAUGGACCCAUGUAGUCUACUCCCCAGACAUCAAGAAGCUCCACUUGAAGGUUGUUUGUAAGAGGCAUGGCAUCAUGGGUAUUGAUAUUCCCAUGUCGCUGACACCUCUCACACCUCUUGAUGAAGUCUUGAGUGUCUUGGUACAUGGUAGGCCAAUAGAAUCCACUUUGCCAAAUUUUGGCAUGGGUCAUGAAUGUACCAUAAUGGCCUCCAUAUUAAGCUCCGUGGCACUUCUCAAUGAUUUGGACGGGUUCUUCCAUAGGGACACAUCUUCUUAGCACACCAUCCUGGCAGACCCUAUAGAGGUAGGGGUCAUCCCAAAGGUGCACUUGGCUCUCCUUGAUCAGCUGCUUCUUCUUAUCUACCCCCAGUGGCACAUAACCAAAAACCAUGUAGUUGACGAUGUUUGCAUACCACGGGUAGGCGGCUGACACUUUGAGGAGUGUGUCAUCCCGAAGAUAGUCGUUGAUUGGUAGUUCAUGUUUAUCCUCAAUCUGCAUUCUAGACAAGUGGUCUACGACUGAGUUCUCUAGUCCCUUUUUAUCUUUUAUUUUUAAGUCAAAUUCUUGGAGUAGCAGGAUCCAUCUUAUUAGCCUUGGUUUAGCAUCUUUCUUAGUGAGCAGGUAUUUUAGUGCAACAUGAUUGGUGUAAACAAUCACUUUUGCCCCAACUAAGUAAGAUCUAAACUUGUCUAUAGCAAACACUACAGCUAAAAGCUCCUUUUCUGUUGUUGCAUAGUCUAGUUGUGGGCUAGUUAGAGUUUUGCUAACAUAAGAGAUAAUGUGAUUCUUUUUAUCUUUGGUCUGUCCUAAGACAACACCUACAACAUAAUCACUAGCAUCACACAUUAUCCAAAAAAGGAAGUGACCAAUCAGGGGGUUGUAUGAUUGGUGCAGAGAUAAGUGCUUUCUUGAUGUAUUAAAAAGCAUCUAAGCACUCAUCGUCAAAGUUAAAGGGUGCAUCUUUAGCUAACAGGUUUGUUAAAGGUCUAGCGAUUUGUGAAAAAUCUUGUAUAAACCUCCUAUAAAAACCUGCAUGACCAAGAAAACUGCGUACACCUCUAACAUUCGUGGGCGGUGGGAGCUGUUCUAUGACCUCUAUUUUAGCUCUAUCCACCUCUAUCCCACGCUCGGACACUCUGUGUCCUAGCACUAUCCCCUUCCAAACCAUGAAAUGACAUUUCUCCUAAUUCAGGAUCAAGUGCUUCUCUUGGCAUCUUUGUAAGACGCGGUCUAGGUUCUCAAGACAGUUGUCAAAAGUCUUCCCAUAGACAGAAAAGUCGUCCAUGAAGACUUCCAUGAUUUCUUCAAUCGUGUCUGAGAAGAUGGACAUCAUGCACCUUUGGAAGGAAGCGGGAGCAUUGCAUAGGCCAAAAGACAUGCGCCUAUAUGCAUAUGUCCCAUAAGGGCAUGUGAAUGUCGUCUUACGCUGAUCAUCAGGAUGGAUCGAGAUUUGAUGAUAACCCAAAUAAUCGUCAAGGAAACAAAAGAAAGAAUGCUUUGCUAACCGUUCCAACAUCUCAUCGAUGAAGGGUAACGGGAAAUGAUCUUUCUUUGUAGCCUUGUUGAGUUUUCGGUAAUCUAUGCACAUCCUCUAUCCCAUGACGGUUCGUUGUGGGAUAAGCUCGUUAUUAUCGUUUCUAACUACCGUCAUUUCUCCCUCUUAGGUACUACUUGUACGGGGCUGACCCACUCACUGUUUGGAACAGGAUAGAUUAUGCCCGCGUGCAAGAGCUUCAAGACCUCUUUCUUCACUAGUUCCCUCAUCGCAUUAUUUAGCCUUCUUUGAGGCUCCCUAGAAGGUGUAGUAUCGGGUUCUAUGGGUAUGCGAUGAGUGUAGAGAGCGGGACUAAUUCCUUUAAGGUCUUGGAGGGAGUAUCCUAAGAUAGAGCAGUGUUUCUCUAAUACGGCGAUAAGUUUAGUGGCAUCCUCCUCAGAGAGCUGAUCGCUAAUGAUGACAGGGCUAUCCCGAUCAUCAUUAAGGAAGACAUUCUUAAGCCCAGGGGGAAGUGGCUUAAGUUCUAUGGAGGGCUUAGGUGGUGGCUUAGAUUCAUGUAGCUCUAGUGGUUCAUCUAGUUCUGUUUCUAGCCCUUCGAUGUAAUCCUCCUCUAGAUUAGGCUAUGAUGCCUCUAGGUGAGUGGCUGCCAUCACCUCCUCUAUCGGAUUAGUUUUGGGGUUUGGCUCGAUUUUGGCAUUAAUCGAGUCGACAUAGGGAAUUGACUGGUUUAGGUUCUUCUCUAUCUGACCCUUGAGGUGCCCGCUAUGAAAUCCAUCAAUGAAUCUCAUAAGCGGGUGCCCAAUUAACAGGUCGAUGUCCUCUACAUCAAAGAUGUAGAAAUUCAAGAGGACAUGGACCUUGUUAAUGACAACAUACACAUUCUAUGCAAGGCCGCAGCUCUCGACCAAUUCUCCAGAUGGUAACUUGAGGAACUUUUCAGUCGGAACUAACGGUUCCUCACCUAGGAGUGCUAAUGCUAAACUCUUACACAUUACAGAUGCUCCUAUGGUGGGGUCAUAAAGAGAAUCUACGGGAGUCCUACUUAUGAGACAACGAAUGGUUGUGAAAUAGGAGACAAGUCUGAUAACAUCACACGAUGCUUCUGACUCCUUCAGCCAUUCGCUGCUCAUAACGGUCAUGAGCUCCUGAGCAGUUGCUUUGAGGUAACAAGCCUCUAAGCGAGAAGAUACUUGCUCUUUUGGAGCGUUGUGGUUUCUCUUUUGCACAGGUUGUUUCGAGACGUUGCCAUAAUCGGCAAAAAGAUCCAUCUCGAUGUUAAGAGGAUACUCUAAGGGGUAAAUCACUUCUUCCUUUGAAGGUGUUUGGGAUUGUGGUUCAGGCUCGACAGCUUGUGAUGUGGCUAUUGUAUCGUUAGCUGACAAGGUUUCAUCCCUAUGGGCUUGGUCUUCCUUAGGGGCAUCACUAUGGUCAUCAGUGUAGGGGGUGUUGUCUAGUAUGGUUGCUAGGACCACCCUACCUUCACUAAUGGGUAAAUGAAGGAAUGCUCCCUUUGAGGCUAGAUCAAGAAAUUGUGCGGAACUUUGCCUAAGACCGAGAUAGAAAUGUUGCAUUAGCGUUGGCUCGGUUAUGGCAAUGUCUGGGCAUGAGGAUGCUAAGUCUAUGAUUCGCGCCCAAGCCGCACCUAGAGUUUCCUUCUCUUCUUGCUUGAAGUUUAGGAUCUCUCUACAGAUCAGAUGAGCCACACGAGAAAGGGGGAAGUAGGUAAGGCAAAACUUGGCUGCAGCUUCUCCCAUUCUCCGUCUACACUACCUACAUUGCGAGAGUACCACUGUCCGGCUUUUCCCGUCAAAGAGAACGGGAAGAGCUUCCACCUAAGGGUAACUCGCCUCAUCCCUUGGAUGUGAAUGCACGAGCAAAGCUGCUCGAAGUCACGUAGGUGGGUAUAGGGAUUUUCAUAUCCUUCUCCUGAAAAUGGAUUCUCCUGAACCAUUGCUAUGAGACUUGGGAGAAGCUCAUAACGAAUGGCCCAAAUGGCUUGAGAAGAACUAGGCGGCUCCAGCUCAGCGCUCGAUGGAGCAACAUAGUCAAAGAGGGUUGUUUGAUCCAUGGGAUAGGUAAAGGUUCUAAUCAAACAAGGAUAACUUGACAACUUUGAGUCUAGUUGACCAGCUACCGUUCCCCAGCAACGGCGCCAGAAAUGCUUGUUGACUCUUCUUAGCGUCACUACCUAGGAUUAUCAGUCCUUAGCACAGCACUAGAAAUGCUUGUGUGACACCAGAAGUGGCAAACGGUAUUACCACAAGCGGACGGUGGUCAAUGUAGCACUUCACCAGGAGUAUUCCAGGUAUCGUAUUCUCCACAGAGAACGAGAAGUGGAUUAACUAGACCAAUUGAGUCGUAGGAUGAUGAUCAAAGGGCUUAGGAUUGGGUGGAGAGGUAUUUCUAGUAUUUGGCUUCUGGCUAAGCUAUCCUAAGUAUACUUGAGAGUUAACUCCCUUCCUACUUUGGCCGAUAGGUGAAAAGGUUGUGGUGAAACACGUCCCUAGGCAGCUACAAUGCAGGCCAACUAUUAUUUGCAACUUGCCUAACAACACACGGAAGAGAACUCCUAAUGUCUAGCAGAGUCCUGUCAUGCUUUGCUGCUGGCGUUCUUCAGGUGCGACAAGAAGUCCACAAGGACAGACUUAGUCUAGACACCACGUCUACACUUAUUCUACUACUCUAGACCUAGCUAAGGUUUCGAGCACUUCACACAAGGCAAAGCAAUGUGCUAGUAGGCCGGUUGUAUACUUAAAAUAAACUAAGACAGAAAGUAAAUACUGGAAGUACUCAGAUGAAAGGCAACUAGAAGGAAGACUUACUAGAAGACAAGCAUCCGCUGAGGCGCUCAUGGAAGAAGACUCCCGACAAGCCGGGACUCCUCCUCGGGGAACUCCUCACCCUCUUCCCUGUAUUCUCACACUUAGCUAAGAGUAGCUCUUUCUAAGAUACAUCAUGCUUAACUAGGCUCUCUAAGGGGGUAUUUAUAGGGGGGAGAUGGAGUAGGGGCUAAGCGCCACGUUAGCGAUAUGCGUGCUCCCUCUUCUCCACCGUUGGAUCAAACCGACAUUGGAACCGCCAUAUGAUCAACGGUUGGGAAUUUCCAUCACAUGUUUAUUAUGGGGAUGUCGGUGGGAGUGAACCGACUUAAGGUGGGCCCACAUUACAGGUCGAUCGACCGACCUAUUGCUUCCAUGUGGGCCCCACCAACCUUCUAGAAGGUGCUUAGGUCGGUGGGAGUGUGGGCCAGGUGGGGGCCCAGCAAAUGUGGGUCGGCCGACCUGCCCAUAGGGGGGUUGGCCCACCACCUUGCUCCACAUGUUGUCCCCACUUGUCAUCUUCAAUGUUUUGUUGAUAUGUGGUGGUUUUGGUUCUUGAUCAUCUUUGCUUCUUUUAAGCUUGAUCGGGCUUGAUUAGUGGCUGUUUGCACUGUUGACGGUCCUUAAGUAUCAAAUUUAAUUAUCAAAUAAACAAAGAAAAGGAUCCAAAUGAAAUAAACAUCUAGACUUAGGGUUUUAUCUGACAGAAUUCCACGAGUUUUGGUGUUUGUCUAUUUCUGCAGGGGGUUAUCAGGAAAUAAGGAAGAAAGGCCCACAUGUCGGGAUUACAUAGAGAUAUCAACCCACCGCGCAAUUUUCUACCAUCUAGAAGACUCCAGAAGCCACGGGAAGGAAGCGGAGCCCGAAAGGGGCCAGGCCCAGGGCGCCCGCCCUGAAGACCUAGGCGCCCGCCCACCUCUGGACUCCGUUCCGGACUCUCUUCGCACACGACGUUCCACCGACCUAUUGGAUCUAGAAUAACAUAGUACCACCUCACCUAUCGACCCAAAAACGCAUAGAAGGGGAGGACUAUAUAAGGAGACCCCCUGUGGCCCCUAGAGGAGACAAGAAAUUAUCAUAGAGAUUGAGGGGUGCCCUCGAAGGAAAACCUCUUCUCUAAAUAAUAUUUCUUUUUAGGCUUAGCAACCAAUGUAAAAUAGAAAUAGAUCUUCUAGUUUCUACUAGAUUGAGAGAGAUAGAGUGGAGGUGUAGAUCGGAGGAAGGCCGGCCUGUCGGUGUCUACUCCGAGUUGUACCUGCGGGAUCAAGUCUCUUAACCCGAGGCUUGCUUCUAAGAUUCUUCAGUAAUUUGACUUCUAAUACUAGUAAGUUCUUGUUUUAUUGUUCUUUGGUUUAUGAGUUUACUUUAAUCCUCUUCCGGUUGAGUAUUAGAGUAAUCACUUGUUAGCGUAAACGUGGUGUUUAGGCUAGGGUACUCAUAGAUAUCCCCUGACUAGCUGGACCGUGGUAGUAGCGAGGAACGUGACAUUUCCGAGUUACCUUUGCAGAUCACAUCUCGUUAGCAGGACGGGUAGGUUUAUAGGUGCGGGUCGAACAUCCUUUGUGUUGUCUAGAUUUCGUGAGCCUCCCCAAUAGAACAAUAGAUCAUCCUUACCAAGGUUAGAACGAGACUACGGUUGCAGUCUUCUCUAUACAUCACUCACAUCGAGAGACAUUCUUUGUAGCCUAAAGGGGUAGUAGCAAUAGAUUUGGUUAGUCAGAUGCACCCUUUCUCCCAGUGGUAAAAAUAUAAAUACGAUAACUCUGGAAAACCUCCCGGGUGAAAUGCUCACCGAUAUCCGUGCGCUUGCGGAUCAUUUCCUUAUUGCGUUACCAAAUAUCAACAAGAAUUUCUGGCGCCGUUGCCGGGGAGAAAGACGGUUUGCUGAGAUAACUUUGAGUCUUGCUAUUAUCUUGUAUUAUACUUUUAUACUUUUAUUCUUUUAUCUUUUUAUUUUUAUCUUUAUGGAUAACUCAAAUUCCAUACCUAUUAUUAAAUUCUUUGCACCUUCGGAGACCAACCAUAGACCAUGGGAGUCAACACGUUCUGCCCCUAAUUAUGAUCUGUGUCCGGAGUUGAUUGCAAUUGGUCAAAACCAACCCUUUUCUAUAGCCGAGGUCCUAUCUUUUAAUCAAAAAGAUAAUGCACUUUUAGCUACACCUAGGGAAUCUUUUAAUCUUUCUAUAAAUUCUGGUUUAGACCUAGCCCUACAAGACCAUGUUUUUCCUAAAUAUUUGCACAUUGGUCUUAAUCAUAUAACCUUUAGUAGAGUCUUUCUUUCUUUAUCUAUUAGUAAAGGAAGGUAUGCUAUAGUAGAUAUGGGAUAUUUUGUUGGACUAACCCCUGCAGGAAAACUUUCAAUAUCAACCUGGGACGUCCUGAGAUACAAAUUCAUUGGAGAUAAAGGAGACACAUGAAGUUUAACAAUUUGCACAAGAAGGACAUGCUCAUUCAUCAUAAAGAGAUGAUCCAUGGAGGGUGCCAAAAACACAAUGCACAACCGCUAAGAUCAGAAAGCUUCCACAAGGUGAUACUGUACCGUCACUCUUCAAGUAAGGUAACAUUUUAAGGUACUUGACUAUCACUUUUAUAAGCUUCUCCUUGGUUCUGGCAUUCACAUAAAUAAAGAGACAAACAUGUAUGAUUUAUAACUCUAAAUUAACCAACUCAAUUAAUUCAGCAUGUUUAGUCCUUUAAUCUUUGUUCUUAGUACUACCUUCGUGAUCCCACACUCCUAAUCGUAUAAGCUAAAGUAUUGCACAUUCAAUCUUUGGAAGAUAUAAACAAAACAUAAAUAUAGAUAGAUUAUCUUUCCAUUAGGUUGAGCUAUAUGAUCUGACAAAUUUUUCAAAUCCUACACUCAUGAGCCAUCAACUUUGUCUUGCUCACUAUGCUUAAGGUUAGAGAAGAACAAAUACACUUUUGGUUCUGUUGGUGUUUUCCACCAACAGAGCCCAUGCACUUGAUCUCGGCCUUGUCUCUAUGAGCAGGACAUAUUUUGAGAAACAUGAAGGCGUUUUACAACUCCCAGAUUCCAUCAAGUGAAGAACCAGGAUCUACGAGCACAAACACAAUGGAGAUCGGACAUUUAGUUUUCCAAAGGAAAUAUUGAAGAACCUCUGUGUCCGAGUUGGUACCUUGUACGCUCCAGCAAACUUCGUGGUGAUAGAGACUGGUACGGAGGAGAGGGCACCCAUCAUCUUAGGGAGGCCAUUCCUAAACACCAGAAGUGUCAUCUACGCUAAUGCUGCCAAGAUCAGUCUCUACAUCAAGGAAGAAGGAGAUUUUCCUUCAAGAACAAGACUACACAAACUUCAGAGCAAUCCCGAAGAGGACCAACAGGAGGAACAAGAACAAGCAAAUGUGGACCGAGUAAGCUAAGAUGGUCACUGCAGCUCAAGGAGGUCAAGAUCGUCGACUCAAGUCACCUUUCUUGAUCAAGAAGGACGACCCUGGUGUUCUAAGAAUCGAAUGCACAAUCAAUAGAUACUCUUUUCAGAAGACACUCUACGACACCGGAUCUGACGACAACAUAAUGGCCAUAGUCACUUAUCAGCUCCUGCAUGGAACCAUGCCCCUACAACCAAGAUACAUUCAGCUUCAAACAAUUUUCAGGUCAUUGUCAUGGGAGAAGACGAGUAUGAUCCAUCCACCAUCCUUGGAAGACCGUUCCUCAGCACUAUCAAAGCCAUUAUCUAUAUUGGAACCGGAGAAGUCCACAUGCACUUCUCCUCUGAGAAGGUAUGCUGCUGUUUUACUGACCCUAACUAUAUAGUUGAAGACUCUAAGCAGGUCAGGACAAGAAGAAGACAACGCAACCGCAACGAGAGGAGGCAAAUCAUCAAGGACGGAUGGGUAGACUACGAAGGAGAAGUGAUAAGGACUGAAGACAUACCACUUGACCAUAACUGUCCUGAGGAGACCGUAGCACCGAGUUAGGUGUGGAGAGAGAAGAUAGUUAUACAUGAAGAAGAGGCGCCGCCGGAAUCACCGACUACGCCACCUAGCGAAUCCCAGGACGACUGAAAACACAAGGAGUCCCGUUCGGAGGACUUAAAAACACCGAACGCCUUGCCAAGAGGUAAACUUGGUAGUUAUCCUUUUCCUUUCAAUUAUUCAAUUAUAGUUUGCUUAGUUAAUCAGGUUCAUGUUAUCUUAAAAAGAAAAUAAAAAAAAUGUUAAAAAAAUAGUAAGCCCUAUGUGAGUAUGCUCAUGGCAUAAAACCCAUAAGUACAUUCACUGUGGUGGCAUAAAAAUAAAAUAAAUAAGUUUUCAUUUUACAAUAAAAAAAUAUAAAAAUAAUAAGUGCAUGAUCCUGCUAAAUAAAUAACAUUUAUUGAGGAGUCUUAACAUGAUAAAGGCUAGAUAUUUAUGCUAACACUUAAUUAGUUCCACAAGCUUUGUUGUCUAUUUGAGCUCCACAGAAUUUAAGAAUCAAGAAGACUAGCAGACGGAGGACAUUCUAAUCGCUGUCAGAAUGCUGCUGACUUUCAAAUACACCUCUGCCACCUGCUAGCUACAUCAGAAGAAAUUACGUCAAAAUUCAGCUUGGGGGAGAGCACCCCCAUUUAUCUCGCUAAGUAUUUCUACUUAUCUUUAUACUUAUAUUAUGUUAGAAUACUAAAAUACAUAAACUAUGAAAAACCCAAAUAAAGAUUUUGUGCUUAUAUAUCUUUUGCUUAGUGUGUUUAAUAAAGUGGCUAUGCUAAUCUAAAUCUUAAUAAUAAAACUUAAGCAUAGAUAUGAUGAAUAGUUGCUCUGCCUAAUUUGCAAAUUUGAAGUUCUCUCUCAAGUUUAGACAUAACUGUUAUAAUUUAAAGCUUGCUCUAGACGUAAACUUGUGGGAUGAAAACUUGAUCUGAAGUCUAAGUUGUUAACGGAUACGAUAUGGGAAGGUUGAGCUGCUGUUUAUCUGUUCCUAGAGAUGCUAGAAUUCUGGAGAAUUUUAUCUUUGAAAAUCUUUAAAAUGUUGCAUGAUGAGUUUCUGUAUGAUGAGAGUUUAAAUUCCUACCACAGCCAUAUAUGCAUGCUUGUUAGACUUUGAAUCACACAUUUAUUAUUUACUGCUUAUGAGCAUUGAGUGUGGUCAAGCUGUGUAGACCCUUAGGAGCUUGUCAUGUGGUUAAAUCAAGAUUUUACUUGCACGUUCACUCAUAUAUGCUACUUCUACUCCAGAAGUACCAUCCACAUAUAUCCACCCAUUCCAUCUCCAGAAUCACCCAAAAAUAUUCUACUCCUAAUCCGGGAGAGAAUAACCAAAAAUAUUUCUGUUUUCCCCUUGUGAAAUAAAUGCUCAAGUUAUCUUGUUACUACCACUUGCUAUAUUAUCUCAAGAGAUGAAUGCUCUGAAAAGAAAAAGAAAAAAAAGAGAUACGAGGAAAUAAAAAGGAGCAAGUGCUCGGAACCUCGAAAGAAAAGAAAAAGUGAGACGAGAGGUAAAAAAGGACAAGUGUCCGACAGUAGAAUUAGGGGUGCAAGAUACCCACCUGAGAGAAAAGAAAAAGAAGAGCAUCUCAUUCUCCUCAUAAAGUUUCAAAAGCAAGGAAGGUAUGUAUCCCCUCAAAGAGCAAAGUAGAAUUAGACUUCCACCACCAUUACUUCCACCAUUGUUAUCACCAUCAUCACCAUACAUCAUUUAUUCGCCACACAUGCACAUCUUGAUUUGGCUUAUUGAUUUGUUUCUUUGGAUCCAUGGUUUGACUAUACAAUACAUGUCUUGUAAGUAUGUAUACUUUAUCUCCCACCUAUGAGCUCCAGAUAUUAAAGACUUAUUAGAGUAGGGUGAGAGAGAAGGCAAUGUCACUAUGCCUCAUACCACAAAUACCACAUAUCUUGAGAGAAGGCAUAUACCAUCACUGCCUUGGUAAGGAUCCAAAAAUACCACAAAAGAGAGACCUAAGAGAAUCAUACAAGGAAUUUCUGAGUUUUAUUUGAAAAUCUGCAAAAAACCCCAGAGCUAUAGCUGAUCUAGAAUAAGAGACAUGGCACUUGGCUAAACUGUUCUAUCUUUUAACCACUCAAGACAGAAGUGACGGUUACAAGUCCUAUGGUGUAGGUAAAGUAAGUAAGUUUUAAGUCUUAACAGUUUAUUCUAACUCAGAGAUGAGAUCUUGCUUAAAUGUGUGUGUACUUCUAAGAAAUGAAACCACUGCAGAAACUCUUGAGUUCAUCCUUGCUUAGGGACGAGCAAGAGGUAAGCUUGGGGGAGUUUGUUGACGGUCCUUAAGUACCAAAUUUAAUUAUCAAAUAAACAAAGAAAAGGAUCCAAAUGAAAUCAACAUCUAGACUUAGGGUUUUAACUGACAGAAUUCCACGAGUUUUGGUGUUUGUCUAUUUCUGCAGGGGGUUAUCAGGAAAUAAGGAAGAAAGGCCCACAUGUCAGGAUUACAUAGAGAUAUCAACCCACCGCGCAAUUUUCUACCAUCUAGAAGACUCCAGAAGCCACGGGAAGGAAGCGGAGCCCGAAAGGGGCCAGGCCCAGGGCGCCCGCCCUGAAGACCUGGGCGCCCGCCCACCUCUGGACUCCGUUCCGGACUCUCUUCGCACACGACGUUUCACCGACCUAUUGGAUCCAGAAUAACAUAGUACCACCUCACCUAUCGACCCAAAAACGCAUAGAAGGGGAGGACUAUAUAAGGAGACCCCCUCUGGCCCCUGGAGGAGACAAGAAAUUAUCAUAGAGAUUGAGGGGUGCCCUCGAAGGAAAACCUCUUCUCUAAAUAAUAUUUCUUUUUAGGCUUAGCAACCAAUGUAAAGUAGAAAUAGAUCUUCUAGUUUCUACUAGAUUGAGAGAGAUAGAGUGGAGGU